GGUUCUCAAAGAAUAUUAAAGAAAAAAAAUGAUUUCCUCAUAUUGAUUUUACUAUGAAAAAUACAAAACAAAAAUAUAUUUUUAAAUUCCUAUAUAAAAAAGUUAAAUGAAUGAAAUGAGUUUAAAGUGAAAUAAUAAAAUAAUUUAUUUAACUUUAAAUCUUUUUUUUCUUUCACUUUUUUUCCUUCUAGUUUUCAUAUAUAUUUUAUUUCCGUCGCAUUUUCCCCAUGUAACUUCAUAUGGGCUUUUAACCCUUUUAAAAAAUAUCAACAUAGAGGGAACCUAUAGAUACCAUAAUAUAUUUAUUUAUUUAGGAAGUUGACAAGUCCUCGUACACGUGUUUUAUUAUUUUAUUUAGCUAUAAUACAUGCAGAUCUUUCCAAGAGGACUUUAAAUAUUUAUUACAAGUUGGACGUGCCAAACAAGGUCUAAGCUCGGCCACCAUCAUUCCCUGGCAACUGUAGGAAGGAUAUGAGCCCCUUAUCAGACUGCGUCUCCCAAACAAAUGCUUGGUACUGGUUGUCAUUUGUGGCUUCAAUAAUGAGGUUGUACAGUGUGAUACCCCACUGAUUGAUCUUCGAUCCCUUAAUCACGCACUUGAAUUUCAAGUGCCCUCCUUUCCUUCUAUUUUCCUCCGCCACGGCGUACUUUGAGACUCGAUCGUAAUCUUUGUUCUCGACCAUAACCCAUUCUUGGGAUUGCAGUUGAACCCCUUGAGCCACUUGAGCCAUCGUCCGGUGGUCGGAGACUUGUCAAAGUUGUGGGUUGUGGGUUUUGGUGGAGGUCUGGUGGUGGUGGUGUUGGCUGCUCGAAUUUAUAGACUUGGAAGAUAGAAGGAUGGGAAUUGCCCUUCUAGGUUCCUGAAAUUACGGGAAUACUAAUAGUGGGUUUGGACAGGGACAGCUGAUGUUGAUAGUUGAUACCAUCCUCCAAUUUUAUUUUAUUUUAUUUUUUAAAAUGAAAAUAAUUUUAUUGUAAUUUUUAAUUUUAAUUUUAUUAUUUUUUAAAAUUGAAAAUAAUUUUAUUGUUUGAUGAUCUGCUUUUAUUUUUUAUUUUUGCAAUUUGAAUGAAAAAUUUUGAAAUUUUUUAUAUUCUUAAAUUAUUUUAAGAUAAUCUAUUUUUUUUUUCCAUUGUCAUGUGAUUAUUAAAGAUAUGUUUUUUAAAUACAAAAAUACAAUUAAAAAAACAAAACAUAUUUAAUAACCAAAAAAAAUAUUUUUUAUUUUUAAAAAUAGAAAAAAAAAUUAAUAUAACUUUUUUUUUAGGGAGAUGAGGUAACCAAUAUUGGGACCCAAAAUAUUCUUAUGACAUGAAUAAUUGAUAGAAGAAUUGUCUAUUCCUAUUCCUACUGUCAUAACAUUUUCAUCUUCCUUGAAUUGAUUAUAUGCCCUAACUCUCCUUCAAGAUUAAGUUUACAAAUCUUACUCCAUAUGAUUAUUCUAUUUAGGAAUGAUAUUGGAAUAGGAUUCAAAAGGAAGGGUCACUCUCAUCCUAACCCUAUCACGAUUAUUUAUUUAGAUAUAUUCUCAUCCUUGUCAAUGGAAAAAAAAAGGUAAACAGGGUAUGAUUGGUGGGUAUGAGAAUUCUUGGUACCCACCUUGCACCCAAUUUAAUUUUUUUAUUCAAAAUGUUUUUAGUUUUUAAAAUUUAGAUUAUAUAAAAAAUAAAUAUAAUUAAAAUUAGAAAAUUUUAUAAUUUAUUUCAAUAAUAUAUAUAUUAUAUGUAUUAAACAAGAAAAAAUAAAAAAAUAUUUUUAUUAAUUAAUUAUAUAUAAACUUAUCAAAUAAAGCAAUACUCAAACAUAUGGCUAGUUUAAAAAAAAGUCACGCAUUUGUUCUAAACUUGCUUAUUAUUUUUUAAAAUCCUUCUCACUAGAAAUGGUACCCACAAAGACUAGUUUCAUUAUCAUCCCUAAGCUAUCAUAGGUUUUGGUUUUUUUUUUUUUUCAUAUCAAACUUGAAACGAAUGAAGAAUUUCGAGAACCAUAUUAAGAGCUUUGGCCAGGUAGAAGACCAAGAUUUUUGCUUAUUAUUUUAUAUGAAAAUGUUAAAUAAGCUAAAAGUUUAAAAAUGAUUUGCAGAUUUGAACUUUUAAGUGUCUUUUAAAUGAAACACCACCUAAUUAAGCUUCGAGAUACUUUGGAGGGUUUCUUAAACACUAGCAUUUGAAAGUCAAAUAAAAGAUUCAAAGGUACAACUCCAAUACUUUCAAACGGCAAUGUGACAAGCAAGGUUUUACUUAAUUGAUUUUGAAAGUAUUGAACUUUGGAAUUAAUAAUUACAUAUAAAUUAAUGCAUUUUCUAGCAUGUGACUUCAUUCAAAAGGAUUUAAUGGCAUACUUGAAAGAUAGCCCAAUGAGUCAAAGGCAUGCUUUGAUAAUUGGUUUAUAUGGAUCUUUAUUAAUUGAAAUUAAAAUUAUGUAUUUUUUUUUAUAUCCAAACUCAAAAAAAUACAAAAUUCCAUGAAUCUUCUUUAACUAAUAUAUAUACUGAUAAUGGUUUCAAUUUUAAGGGAAUCUCAUAUGCAUUUUCUCACAUUUUUGAAUAAGCAAUAAGACAUGGGAGCAUUGGAACAUCCCACUUUGAAAGCUUAACCUUGGGAGAAUGAUAAGCUUCACCAAUUGAAUGUUUGACAUACAAAGAUGAGUAGUUGAUUUAGAACUUAAGAUAAUAUGAGUUAUUAUUUAUUAUAUAUAUAUAUAUAAAAGAAAAAUGUUUCUUACCAUUUUUCCUAAGGAUCAUUUAGUAAUGUUUUAUGAUGUAUCAUUGAGAAAAGCAUUCAAUUGAGAAGUCUUAUGUACCAUGAGAAAGUACGGGAAGAAUUUCUUUUUCUAAUAAUUUUAAAUUUAAGAGAUGACAACCUAAAUAUCCCAAGGUUUAAAAAGUUAUUUUUAAAAACCUAUUCACAUAAAUAUCUUUAAUUAUAGCUAUAAAUUUUUAUAAUAGUACGAUAUAAUGGUUAUUUAUUUAUUCAAAAAUAUCUCAUCAUCUUAGCUUGGUGAAACAAUCCUAAAACAUUGUUCAAUAAAUUUAAAAAGCAGUGGACUACAAUAUGAAUAAGUUAAUAACGUUCGAGGAUAAAUAAGACAUGUGUUUUAUCCUUGAAAAUCACUUAUACAUGUAACCACCGACUUCAACACAAGUAAAUCACCUAUUGUGAUAUGCAUAACCAUCUUUGAUUAUAAAUAAAGUAUGAGCUAUUAGAAAAGCUCACUUUUGAACUCCUAUACUUAAAAGAUAACAUAUUUUCAUAAAUCUCGAUGACUUUAUUAUAAGUUAUGCUUAUGUCACACGAAGAGUAGCACUCCAGAUGACUUUAUUACAAGUUACAAUUACGAGCUUAAUUUGAUAUUGGAGGUAAGUUCGUUCACGUGAGAAUUGGUUUGCAGGGUUUAAGGUAAGUGAGCGCUUUGAAGCCAUCGAAGCUCUCAUACACAAGAGUGUCAUACUUGGUCAAGACACCGUCGUGUUCAGCCUAAAUGAUGAGUUUGUAAUUGAUACCAUUGAUGACCUGCGUCCACCCUGUUGAGGCCUCGCGUCGCUGGUGAUCUACGUAGUUGCCAAAUGGAUGGACGCACGAUCUCAACCAAUAUAGGUUCUUGAUUCAGUUGCUCCACCUGCAAAAGGCGUCCGGACGGGGUGUCCGGACGCACCCUCCGAAGGUUUUGUCAGCCAUGGUUAGAGAGAGAUAAAUCAGUUGGCCUUUUACUAGGAUUAGCAAGUUUACCUUCCCCUUUGUGUGAAGGUUUGUAUAUAUAGUUAUCAGAAGCUUUGUUCCCCUCUUCAAUGGUGGGGAGAUAUUUUGUGUUGUCAUGAUGACACUAGGUGGUGGCAGGGCCAUCAUCACCCUAUGGGCGGUUGACAGAGAUCGUGGUAGGUGAUGCGGCUGUCAGAGAUCAUGGUAGGUGAUCAUAUGAAAUGAUCGUGGGAAGUGACUUGUUGUCACUUCGUCUUGUCCUUUCACUCUGCAGGUGGCGGAACGUGGGCUAUGGCAGGCUGUUGUGAUAACGUGUAAGACUUGCUUUACUUCAGUCAAUGACCCAGACAAUCAUAUCCGGAUGUUUAUGUUUAUAAGUGUCAUUUGCCCUUCCUUGAGGCAGUCUGGAUAGGAGAAGCGCGCCUCUUGGGAAAAUCCGGAUGAGGUUGAUCCGGAUGAGAAUGCAUGCCACGCGUCAUCAGGAGAUGUGUGCCACGUGUGGGGAGGGGUCCCUACAAUGCCCCCCUUUUUAACUUGCCUAUUUUGCCUAAGCAAAAAUGGGCGGGUUAAAAAUAAUUGGUUUUUUGAAACUGAGUUUACUUUUUGCGCUCAUUGAGCCACGUGGCAAGCGGGGGCGAAGAGAGAGAAGAGCAUUUAUGAUGAGCCGCCGUCUCUGUGUAUCCCCAGGCAGCAUGUCGUUUCAAUGAUAGCGUAGCUGAUCGUUUGGUAUACCGAGGGGCUGUCGCCCUAUAAAUAGCGUAUUGUGCCUUCUGCUGCACUUUUCCUAUUGCGUUUUUUCUGCGAGUGUUUCUUCUUCUUCCUUCUGCGUACCUUUGCUUUUUGAGUGAAGCCCUAGGGUUUUCUGCUGGAGAUUUUCGCGUCUUGAUGUGACUGUAUUGCGGUUUCGAACCCUUUUCUUCCAUUUUUGCACCUGGUACGUAUAUCUGCUCUUAUCUUUUCCCGGUUGCUUUGGUUUUGUUGGUUUGCCUGUGGCUUGUUUGGGCGAGUGUCUGUGCGACUGGGUGUUUUUCAGUGAGUCCGAGGGUUUUUGUUGCCCCCCUGUGUUUUAUGUGGGUUGUGGUUUUUCUUUGGUAGGGUCAAGGGUUUUGGAAUGGGCAUACUGGUGGUGUGAGAUUUUCUGAGAGUUUCUGUCGUUUAGGGUUUGUGGGUUUGGUUUGCUGUAUUUUUUACUGUUGGUACUUCCUUCAUGCAGAUUUUUUAUCAUGAGGCUGAAAAAUGUCUGCGACCCAAGAAGUGACCUCAUCUGGCCCGGCCGGUGAUGCUUUUGAAAAAUCUGUAGAUAAACUGAGUGUAAAGGAGUUCCGAGAACGUUUCUGUAUCCCAAAUGGCGUGCUUGUGGAUUUUAUGGACGAUGAAGAGGUCGUGUCUACUGAGAAAGCCGAAGGCCGUGCCAUCACCUUCUCAAAUGAGCAAUUUAACGCUGGGCUCCGAUUCCCUCUCCCGGCGCUGUUCAAGGAAUUCCUCCAUUUUACUCAGAUCCCACCAGCCUUCAUCCACCUCAAUACAGUCCGGGUGCUGAUGGGAUGCAGCAUUCUAAACAUGCUGUUCAACCUUGACCUUUCGCUGUUGGAGGUUCUUUUUGUUUACUCCCUGAAGAAGGGAAAAAAUGAUAUCUUCAGUAUGGCCGCCCAUCUGCCCUCUCUUCAAUUGGUGACUGAGUUGCCAGAUUCGACGAAAGGAGGGGCGAAGGGGUAUGUGGUGGUCUGAGGUGCCUGGGCGGGUCUUUUGGAGCAUCCGGAUAGGCCUUUUUCUCCAAACUACUCAUUGGUGCUUCCGGGUAAGUCAGCUUAGGGUGCUAUCCAGCUUUUAUCUUGUUGUCCUUCUUGCUAGUUUUGUCGGAACUUAUCUUUGGUUUGUUGAUAAUGCAGGCUCGGACAGGAGGGGUCACAUAGUUGAGUGGGUAGAGAAAGCGUCUUUUGUUCGAUUGAAUAAGUUGUUCGAAAUUACUGCCGCCGAGAGGCAGUAUGCAACGCUGCUCACUGCGCGGAACCUGAUGGCUGUUGUCUGGGAGUCCCGUGAGUAUGUCAUCAAUAUUCUCCCCAGGAAGCUGCCAAAGAAGGUAGUGCCUGGGGAGCAUUACAUUCUGAAAGACCUUCCUUUCUACAAGGAGGUGCAACAGGCGGACGCUGAGAAACGUCGAGCGCUCCUUGACGAUCGGGAGAGGAGAAAAAAGGAGGGAACCUUACGGAAGGCUCCGGGGCAAAAACGGUCCGCGUCCUCCCCUCCUGCUGGCGCUCCAGCGAAGAAGAAAAAGAAGACUUCUGAGAAGGGAAAGGAAGUGGAAAUCCCCCCUCCUCCAAAGGAGGUUGUAAUUCCUCCUUCAACCUAUGUGAAAGAGGUAACAAUAAAGGAGCCGGAAAAUCCUGUCCCAGUUUCUGUUUCAAGCGGACCCGGACAUCUUGCGGGUCUGAACCACUCCGGUCUCUCAAUGUCGGCGGCUGGCCGUUUGGCCCUAGUGGUAGAAGAAGCUACGUCAAUAAACCAACCUAGCUCUCCUCAUCCAGAUGCAGAUGCAGCGGAGGCUUCUUGUGCGGCCGUAUCGCCUCCUAUGGCAACCCCAAUGGAGGAAAUGAGGGUAGAAAACUAGGGUCUGCCAUCCUGCGAGUCAAGCCCUCUUGCCCUUGUACCGGUGAAGGGGCCAGCCUCAAGGAGACCGAGUUCGGCGCGGAACCUAAAGUCCGGCCUCCUCGGGCAGCUUCAAGAUCGAUUCCAGGAGACCAUCGAAGUCAGUUGCUCAUCCGUUCAGGAUGACCAUACUGAGGGGAGCGAGACGGAGAUGGCAACUGAGACCCCAGCCGUCUCGAUGGUGGUCCCGGAUGAGGGUACGCCCGGAGAGACCCAUCUGGCUAAAAAUGACGGGGCCCCGGAUCCGGGGGAGGAAUUGCUUUCUAACGCCUCAUCCGGGGGGGGAUCCUGUUGAUGAUGCGGCUUUGCACCCUCUGCUAACCCUUUUUAACUAUGCGGAGUUGGAAGANNNNNNNNNNNNNNNNNNNNNNNNNNNNNNNNNNNNNNNNNNNNNNNNNNNNNNNNNNNNNNNNNNNNNNNNNNNNNNNNNNNNNNNNNNNNNNNNNNNNUUUUGUUUUUUUUGUUUGUGGCCCUUGUUUGUAGUGGGGGAGUGGUUUUCGGGGCAGGGCUCAACACCCCGAUUUAUUUAUUGCCCUGUUGGGGCCCACUGAUUAUAUGAAGCCUUUCGGUUUUCAGGGAAAAAAUAGUGAAGUUCAGUUGCGCUUGAGACGGGAGGGGGCCGAACCCAUUUUUUCCCCCGUUGGGGGGGAAAAGGGGGUUCCCCGGGCAUAUUUAGUGGGGGAAAAGACCCGGGGGGUUUGGAGGGGGCCCCGCUUCCAGGGGGGGGGGGGGGGGGGGGUGAGGCACCUCCGGACGGAAGUUUCAAUUGAAAAGAAGUAGAGGGAAGAUUUGCAGCUGCGCUUAUUAGCGCAAAAAGAAGAGCUGGAGGGCGAGUUUGCUGCGGAGAGAGAGGAACUUGAAGCGGACUACCAAAAUCAAGUGGAUGAUAUGUUCUUCUUCGGCUAUCGCUACAGUAUGAAGAAAAAUGGCAUUAAACGUGAUGUCCCUUCAAUUCCUCCGGGUGAAGAGAAAGAAGCUACUUGACAAGCCUGCUCCCUGACAGUUUUUCUUUUUGUAAUCUUUGCUGCUAUCUUCUUUCUGUAAUUUUUAUAGUCCGGAGACCUCCUUGUAUAUACCUUUACAACUAUUAAUAAAACAUUCUUUAUUCUCAUUUGUGCCUGUCUUUUGCUCUUUUAUUGAUAAUACUGCUUUAAAUUAGACACAUUCCAUGGUCUGAGUAGUGGAGUUUCGUUUAACUUUUGUAGAUGAUAAGCUCCAUUUUGACUUGACUUAGAUAUUAUAUAGGGUCCUUUCCAGUUGGCUUGGAAUUUCCCUGCGUCCAUUUCAGUAGUGUUUUCGAAAACUUUUCUAAGGACCAGCGUACCAUUUUUGAAGCUUCUGGGCCUUACUUUGCGAUUGUAAUGGGCGGAUGCCCUUUGCUGAUAAUCUGCCAUCCGGAUGGCUGCGCUUUCUCUUACUUCAUCUGCCCAAUCCAAGUUUCUUCUUAACUCCUCACUUGCAUCAUCCUGUUUUGCUGCCUCAGUCCGGAUAGUGGGUAACCCUAUUUCGGUAGGGAUGACUGCAUCCAUUCCGUAUGCGAGGGCGAAUGGAGUGUUUCCUGUUGGUCGUCCGGGUGUGGUUUGAUAAGCCCACAGGACGCCGGGCAACUCUUCCACCCACUUUCCUUUGGCUUGUUCGAGUAUUUUCUUUAAAGCAGUGAUCAGAGUUUUGUUUGUGGCUUCUGCUUGCCCGUUACUUUGAGGAUAACGGGGUGUAGAGUAUGAAUUCCGGAUGUUCAGUUCCGAAUAGAAAUUCCGGAACGCAAUACUAUCAAACUGUGGACCAUUGUCGGCUAUAAUGGUGUGUGGAAUUUUAAAACGGCAGACGAUAUUUUUCCAUACGAACUUGGUGACAUCUUUGUCUUUGAUGCUUGCAUAUGCUUCAGCUUCCACCCACUUACUGAAGUAAUUUGUGGCAACAAGUAGGAAUUUCUUCUGGGCGGGUGCGGCUGGGAGAGGUCCUACUAUAUCCAUGCCCCACUGUGCGAAGGGUCAGGAGCUUGAAAUUGGUUUCAAUGUCUCGGACGGCAUAUGUGGAAUGGGGGCGUACCUUUGACAUUUGUCACAUUUUUUAACAUAUGCUGCCGCAUCCUUCUUCAUCGUGGGCCAAUAAUAUCCUUGCGAAUGGGCUCUAUGUGCCAGAGACCGUCCUCUUGAAUGAUUUCCGCAUAUUCCCUCAUGCAACUCAGCUAACAGAUACUGGGUCUCUGAGUGACUUAGGCACCGAAGGUAGGGUCCUGUGAAGGAUCGCUUGUACAAGUGUCCCCCGAUUAUGGUGAAACGGGCAGCUUGCACCCGGACCUUGUGUGUCUGUCCGGAGGUAUUCUGUAAUGCUGUUCGUCCAUUCUUGGCCGUUUGCUUGGUUUGCCUCAAUGGUGUUGCAAGUAGAGGUUUCUGUGACAGAAGGGUUGGUUUGCACAUGUACAGGCAAUAGAAUAGCUUCUUUGAUGGGGAGGGAGGCAGCUAUGCCAGCCAAGGCUUCUGCGCGCCCAUUUUCGGUUCGUCUGAUCUUUUCGAUUGUCCAUUCGGUGAAUCGCUGUAAGGUGUCCCUUACUUUAGUCAGAUAUCGCGUCAUGCGUGCGUCAUUGGCUUCGUAUUCUUUCUGGACUUGUCUUACUACGAGUUGCGAAUCGCUAUAGACCCGGAGCUUGGAAACGGAUAGGGCCAGAGCGAGGUCUAAUCCGGAAAAGAUGACCUCAUAUUCUGCUUCAUUAUUAGAGGCAGGGAAUCCCAGUCGGAUGGCUUACUCCAGGUGUUCACCGGUUGGGGACUGUAGCAAAAGCCCGACUCCGGACCCUGAUGAUCGUGAGGCUCCAUCAACUAGCAAAGUCCACCAUUCUUUUUCAUUUGAUUCCUGGUGUUGGUUAGGCCUUCGGGCAUAUUCUAGCACGAAGUCAGCCAUUACUUGGCCUUUCAUGGACAAUCUGGGUUGGAAUUCGAUUCCAAACUCGCUCAAUUCGAUAGCCCAUUGCAGCAUUCUUCCGGUUAAGUCUGGCUUGUGCAGAAUGUUGCGAAGGGGUUGAUCGGUCAGCACGACCACCGAGUGGGCUUGGAAAUAGGGGCGGAGCUUCUGGGCAGCGCUACGAAGGGCUAAGGCUGUUAGCUCCAUUUUUGAGUACCGGGUUUCUACGUCUGCCAAUGCUCUGCUGACGUAGUAGAUGGGUCUCUACUCCUUAGGUGAGGGGCAGCGAAAUAGAACGGCACUGACUGCCCACUCCGAUACAGCUAGAUACAUGUAUAAUUUUUCUUUUGGGAUGGGGUUGCUUAGGAUGGGCGGCUGCAUAAGACAGUGUUUAAUCUUUUCAAAAGCGUUUUGACAGCUGUCUGUCCAUCCGCUUGCUCCAGCUUUACGUAUUGCCAAGAAGAAGGGUCGCAAUUCAUCAGUGAAGCGGGCUAUAAUACGCCCUGAUGCGACGAGUUUGCCCGUGAGGCGCUGUAAUUCCUUCUUACUCCUGGGGUGAGGUGUUUCCAUGACUGCCUUGACUUGAUCCGGGCUGACCUCUAUCCCUCUUUGGCUGACCAUAAAACCCAGAAAUUUGUCAGCACUUACGCCAAAGGCGCAUUUGGAAGAAUUCAGCUUCAUGCCAUAUUUCUUCAAAAGGUGAAAAACCUCUUGUAAAUGAAGAACAUGCUCCUCUCGGGUUUUGCUUUUAAUCACGAUAUCAUCAAUAUAUACCUCUACUAUGUGACCUAUCAGAGGUUUGAAGAUUUUUGUCAUUAGUCUUUGAUAAGUGGCGCCAACGUUUUUGAGCCCGAAUGACAUAACUUUGUAGCAAUAAAGGUCGUGUGGCGUUAUGAAUGCUAUUUUUUCCUCGUCAGACGGGGACAUGGGGAUCUGAUGAUAUCCGGAGAAGGCAUCCAAGAAAGAGAGCAUCCCUUGCCCAGCAGUAGAAUCCACGAUUUGAUCUAUUCGUGGCAAAGGGAAACUGUCUUUUGGACACGCAUUAUUGAGAUUGGUGUAAUCGACACACCCGCCAUUUUCCUUCUUUCUUGGGUACCACCACUACGUUUGCCAGCCAGUUCGGAUAUUCUACUUCUCUGAUGAAUCCGGCUUCUAGCAAUUUGUCAAUCUCAAUCCGGAUGAUUUUUUGUCUAUCCGGGUGAAAGCGCCUAAUCUUCUGCCGGACGGGUCUGGCAGUUGGAAAGACGUUAAGCUUGUGAGAUGUAAUAGAGGGAUGAAUUCCCUUCAUAUCAGCAUGUGCCCAUGCGAAGAUGUUACGUCUAAGGGCGUUUUGUAUGCUCUGGGUCUCUUCUGGUGUCAUGAGGGAGCUGAUGUUUGUGAGGUGAGUACUUUCCUCCGAAAUUUGGAUUGUUUGUAAGGGAUCUGCUGCCAGGGGAUCCUUGUCCACCGGGCCCAAUAAUUGCUAUCGGUCAUGCGGAUUGCUGGGCUCAGGGAGGGAUGCAUCCUCCCGGCUGGUCCCUGCUUCUCGUGCUAUCUAGUAGCAUUGGCGAGCGGCUAACUGGCUGCCAUAUAAGUCAAUUUGCCCAUCGUUGGUAAGGAAACUCACCAUUUGAUGAUAUGUAGAGGGGAUGACUUUCAUGUAGUGUAUCCAUGUGAGCCCUAAGAUGAUAUUGAAGGGUGAUAACUCUUGUACCACUGAGAAUUGUACGUUGAGAGUGACUGGGCUUGCUUGGACCGGCAGUACAAUGUCUCCUAAUGACGUAGUUGAUGACCCGUUGAAUCCGGACAGGAUUCGUCCGGGGUUUUCAAGGCCUGUGAGACUGUGUCUCAUGUGGCUAACGACCGAUGCUUAUACAAGAUUGGUCAAGCUGUCUGGGUCAACCAAGAUGCGUCUCACAUCGAAGUCUCCUAUCUCUAGGGACAAAAUGAGGGUGUCGCGAUGUGGCUGUAGUGUCCGGGUGGGGUCAACUGGUGGGAAAAUGAUUGUCCCAUCUAUGGGGCGAGGGCCCCCUCCAGUUAGCCCAGGCCGGAUGGAAUUGAUGUGUUCGCGUAUUGAUGCGGCCCGCAACAACUUCUGCCUUUUUCGCCUAGAGUCGUACUCCUCGUCAGAUGGACCUCCGUUAAUAUAGUUUAUAACGGCCUUGGGGGCGGCUGGGGCCCUGGGGGCUCCAGGGUUGUGAUGUUGGGAAGUGACUUUUCCUCCAGCAUUUGAGCGGAGGUAUUGCUUUAGAUGUCCUGCCAUGAUGAGCCUCUCGACCAGAUACUGGAGGCUUCUGCAUGUUUCUGUCGUGUGAUCGUGUUCCUUGUGGAAGGCACAUCUCUUGCUAUGAUCCCUUGUGGAUGGGUCCGUUCCUUGGGGUUUGGGCCACCUGAAGUCAGACAGGCCUUGGAUCAUAGGGAGAAGUUUUUCAUAUGAUAUGGAAAGAGGCGUGAGGGGCGGCCUAUCCGGGCGACUCGGUCCCUCCUGCCUUCGAUCGGACGGCCUUGGCCGGUCCGGAGGUUUAGCAUUUCUUUCCGCAUCACCUCUAGAUGGCCGUCCGGCAACCAAAACUUGCUGGGUGGCUGCACGCACGUCAUCUUCGAGCAUUGAAUAUUUGUUGGCACGUCUGAACAAGUCGUCCAUCGUUGUAGGAGGCUUUUUGGCUAGCGAUUCGAAAAAUGGAGUGCUUGGACAGAUGCUUCACUUGAAGAUCUGUAGGACAGCAUCCAUGCUGCAAGCCUCUACCUGGAGUACGGCCUGACCAAAUCGCUUCACAAACUCCCUUAAGGAUUCGUUAUCUUGCAUUUUUAUGUUUUGCAGAGUGCUGAUGUUCUGCUUGUGUCGAGCGGAGCAUAAGUAUUGUCCCACAAAAGCUUCGGAUAGGUCCCUGAAAUUGCCAACAGAGUUGGGAGGUAGGCGAUGAAACCAUGAGAGGGUCUGUCCUUGUAGGCUGGCGGGAAACACUUUACACAGUAGUGCGUCGUUGCCAAUAUCGAGCGUCAUGAGCUGUCGAUAAUGCACGAUAUGAUCGAAGGGGUCGUUGGACCCAUCGUAUGUGGAAAAUUUUGGUACGAGGAAUCCCUUUGGAGGCUCGUAAUGAAUGAUAUGAGAGCAGAAAGGCAUGGAGAGCAUGUCGUCUAGCCUUUUGCUGAUGGAACCAAUUGGUGGCUGGCUUGAGAGGUUUCCCCCAGCUUGUUGUACCGCUAGGUGCGAGUGAACGUUCCGCAUCAUGGGGGUGACCAUGGGGUCACGAUGCGGGUGCAUGUUUUGCACCAUGGGGGUGACCAUAGGGUCAGGGCGUGGUGCCCAGGUUGUGGCUACUGGUAGCAUUGAUCUCCCAGGCUCUUGUGGGCCUAGUCUUGCGCGCAUUGAAUUUGACAACUGAGAUUUUCUGUCACGUUGGCUUUUUGCUGAGAAAUGAGUAGAGUUUGAGCUUUCCUCACGAGGAGCUCGAGGCAUAGGCAUGUGUGGCUCAUGAGGCCUCACGUUGCAUGCCCCUGGGAUAGCUCCUGCUGUUCCAGGAUAUAUAGACUCUGGCUCUGGCCUUGAGUUUGCUACUUGGCCUCUUGAACGCUGACGACGAGGAGGCCCUGAUGUUGAAGCUUGGAUGCGUAAUACAGCGUUUUCCUCUCUUAAUCUUUCUGUCUCCUGGAGGAGAGCUUUCAGUUGUCGUUCGCUUGCCAACUGUCUCCUUUCGAUGGUUUGACACCAUUCAAAAUUAUCCUCCUCUCACCUACCAGAUGAACGGCUUCGGGAAGGUGUGGCCAUCUUUGCUAGUGACUGAAUCAAAUGAAAAUUUUUCCCACAGACGACGCCAAUGUUGAGGCCUCGCGUCGCUAGUGAUCCACGUAGUUGCCAAAUGGAUGAACGCACGAUCUCAACCAAUAUAGGUUCUUGAUUCAGUUGCUCCACUUGCAAAAGGCGUUCGGACGGGGUGUCCGGACGCACCCUCCGAAGGUUUUGUCAGCCAUGGUUAGAGAGAGAUAAAUCAGUUGGCCUUUUACUAGGAAUAGCAAGCUUACCUUCCCCAUUGUGUGAAGGUUUGUAUAUAUAGUUAUCAGAAGCUUUGUUCCCCUCUUCAAUGGUGGGGAGAUAUUUUGUGUUGUCAUGAUGACACUAGGUGGUGGUAGGGCCAUCAUCACCCUACGGGCGGUUGACAGAGAUCGUGGUAGGUGAUGCGGCUGUCAGAGAUCGUGGUAGGUGAUCAUGUGAAAUGAUCGUGGGAAGUGACUUGUUGUCACUUCGUCUUAUCCCUUCACUUUGCAGGUGGCGGAACGUGGGCCAUGGCAGGCUGUUGUGAUAACGUGUAAGACUUGCUUUACUUCAGUCAAUGACCCAGACAAUCAUAUCCGGAUGUUUAUGUUUAUAAGUGUCGUUUGCCCUUCCUUAAGGCAGUCCGGAUAGGAGAAGUGCGCCUCUUGGGAAAAUCCGGAUGAGGUUGAUCCGGAUGAGAAUGCGUGCCACGCGUUAUCAGGAUAUGUGUGCCACGUGUGGGGAGGGGUCCCUACACACCCCAUAACCACGCUCUUAUAUUUCAGGUGCCAUGAAGCCUGCCCAUUUUUCUCCAUCACGGUGAACUUUGCAACUUCUUGCACCUUCGGAUCCUCCACGUCCUCGAUCCAAACAAAGCUGCCGACUAGCACUUGAGCCAUUGUAUGGCAGCUGGAGAGACUGGUCAAAAUUUUGGUUUAUGGACGGUUUUUUGUGGGGGUGUGGUGACACCGGCGGUGGAGGCAGUUUGAAUUUAUAAGCUUGGAAAGGAAGAAUGAUGGGAACUGCCCUUCAACUUUCUUGGAAUUACAGGAAUAUCAAUCGUGGGUUUGGACAAGGACAUCUCUGAAAAUUGAUUUUGAUAUUAUCACUUUCAUAAUUAUUAAGAGGUAAUAGAAAAAAAAAAUGUAAAAAACAUAAAAAUUAUCUAGGGCAUGGAAAUUUUUUUUUUUUUAAAUAUUGAAUAAUUUUAAAAUUCAUGUUUGGCAAUAUAACUUUUUCACACAAAUAAUUUUAAAAUUGAAAAAUCAUAAAAAAUAAAAAUAAAAAUUCAUCCAAGAUGGUUUUUUUUUUUUAUAAAAAAAAUAGAAAUCAAAAUUAAUGAAAAAUAAAUUCAUUGCAAAAUCAUAAAAAAUCAUCUAAGAUUUUUUUUUUUUUUUACUUAUUAUAUUACAAAUAUGUUUGUUUUUGUUUUUAAAAAUAGAAAACAAAAUUAAUAUUAAUAAACAUAUUUAUUAUAGAUUCUAAUUUUUAUUCACUUCUGUCAAAAUCCCAUCUAUAUUAGAGAACCUUUCUACCACUCAGUGGUGGCAAUAUUGGCCACCAAGAAAUCUUUUAGGUCGAAUGUGCUUACCCCUUUGGCACCAUGAAUGUAUGGACCCAAAGCAUUCCAUGAAUGGAGAGAAGAAUCGUCCCCAUUUUUAAUCUCAUUAGAUUUUUUUUUGAAGAGAAGUAAAUUCAAAUAAAUUUUUUUUUUCAAGUUUUUAAUUAUUUCUUCUUAGUGGGACAUAUAUUAAAAUGGUAAAAUUUUGACAACUUGUUCUGUUCAAUAAUAUGGAUAUUCACCAAAGAUGGUGGAAAAAUCAAUCAAAUAGUUUUUUUUUUUUUAAAAAAAAAAAAAAAAGAAGAAAAUUAUAGAACUCAAACACACAAAAGUAUACUUGCAAAGCAUCUUAAUUUAAUGGGAUGGUGAGGCCAAAAAUAUUCUCUUCACAUGAAUAAUGCAUACAAGAAUUGUCCGUUUCUGUUCUCAUUUGAUUUUUAUGCUUUUUUUUUAAUGGAUAUUGGAUAAAAGAAUCAACUAUCAAUUUCUAUUUUUACCCUCUGUUUCCUUAUUGAUGUAAGACAAUGGAGCAAGAAUCAAUUCUUGAUGUAGAAUUGAUAUAGGAAGCAGAACACAUUCAUGGAAGAACAGAAAUGAGAUAGAAAUAUAGAAAAAGUAUAGAAAUAAUAAUAAUAAUUUUGUGAAUAGCAACAAGAAUGACUUUGGUAUUUAAAUCUAUUUGUUUACAAUUUAAGAACCAUAAAUCAAUAAANNNNNNNNNNNNNNNNNNNNNNNNNNNNNNNNNNNNNNNNNNNNNNNNNNNNNNNNNNNNNNNNNNNNNNNNNNNNNNNNNNNNNNNNNNNNNNNNNNNNAGUUUAGGAAAUGUGGUAACAUUACAUUGAUGAGUAGAAAAAAGGUUUGUUGGAUUAUGAAACUUGAAUUAAUUUUAUUGCGCAUCAUUGGAGAUGCCAGGGUGAAGCUUCCCGCUGAACUCACAAAGAUCAAGUUUAUGAACUUGCCCCUAUGAUACAUUUAACUCUCUUUUGAUUUAAGGUUUUAUUUUUUAGAAAAAAAAAAAUUAAAGUAUGACCACAAUUGAAAUGAGAGUAAGAGUGUUCAACAUUAUAAUCCUUCUUUUUCGUUUAAUUAAUAGAUUUUUUUAGUAUGAGUGCAUUCUUAGACAUGAGAAUCACAUUAAUUAAUUGUAAGUUGAACAAUCUUAAAAUUUAUUUUUCUUUUAUUUGUUUUUGUUCGUAUGUGUGAUGAGAUUAACAUGUACUACAAAGUAGUUAUAAUGUGUAUAUGAUUGUAAAGAAGAGAUAUACCUAGGAGGGUCUGUAAUUUUGUUGGACUUAAUUGCAACGUCAUCUUAUUGAGACUAGAAAGCUGGGACUACAAUAAUGAAAUCAUGUUACAAUGGUUUUGGAUAAUCACAUUAAGUUGUCAAGUAAUUUGCUUCUCAAGUCAUCGAACUUGCUUUUCCCGGUUGUUGAGCUUGAUCUUAGCCUUUUUUCAUGUUGUCAUACCCUCCAAACCAUUAUAUAUGAUCAUUCUAGGUGGUGAACAUUGUUUUAGUUAACCUCCUGGUCAUGCUUCCUAUUUAUAGUUUGAUUAUUUGGACACAUGGACCACCCUGGAAGAUGCGCCUAAAUAACAAAAAAAUAUUCCCUUCCGAGUCAGUAUUCAAACUCUCAUUUGAAAGAUAAAUAGGUUGCUUGGUAUGUUUUGGAGUAAUUCGGGCUACUCGAGUUAUGUAGUCGAAAUUACUUAACCAAUACAACCACCUCAUGAUGGCCGCGGCCAAGUCCAGUCCUCGAACAUAACUAGGUAGCUUACCAAGUAUCUCAAAACAAAACUCAUCAAGAGUCACGAGAUGGAGAGCUUUUAAGGUUUGAGGUUGCAAUAGCCCUGUCAUUUUUUGUCGUAAUAAUAAAUACACAAAAAAAGAAAACAUGAUGGUUACGAUAUGUAAACAAAAACUGAAGACAAUGAGAAGGAAAAAGGGAUGACAAGAAUGCGUAGAAUAAAUCAAGGGUUCAUGCAGGCUGUGACAUGCAUGCUUAAAAAAAGGGCAAUUAGAAAUUCCAAGUUAUACGAAAGUUACCUAUCAUUCUUGAAAAGGAUGAAUAAAAAAUAAAUGUAAUAGAAACCUUGAAAUUAGCUGUGGAAAUCAAACAACUUCAACCUGAUUAUACAAAAGAAACAAUAUUUUUCAUGGAAAAUGACUACUAUUGCAUAGUUAGGAAUCAAUCGGAAGAUAAUUAAGGCUAGUUUGACCAUAUUUUCUAAAAUUUAUUUUUAAAAAUUGUUUUUUAUUCUUUAAGUUGAAGACAAUUUUAAAAAAUAAGUUUCAGAAAAUAUAGCUAAAUGAAUUCAUGUUUUCUUUAUAUUUUUUAAAACUAGUGAAAAUAACUCAUACUUAUUCUUUAAAAAUUAUUCUCUAUUUCAUUUUAUUUUUAAAAAUUACUUAUAGAAAACAAUGUUAAAACAAUCUUAGAAAAUUUUAAAAAUAAUUUUUUAUUUUUAUAAAUAGAAAACUAUUUUUAAAUCAUAUAUUCAAACAUAUUCUCAAAUUUCCAAAAUUAGAGCUAAUAGAAUAAAAAAACAAAAGAAAAAAAAAAGACUAGGAAGAACAAAGGAGAUAUGGAGUCUCACGAAACCAAUAGAAUUCAAACCAAAUAGGUUAUUGAGGAUGGUGUUCGAUCAUCACCCAAUAAGAGGAGCCAUAGCAAGAACAAGCUAUUAAAAGGUAACCUAGCUAAUUAUAACAUAGCAAAGUUAUCUUGGAAUGUGGUAUUGGACUUCAUAAUUAGAUAUAAGAAAUCUAUAAAAUCAAUUUCAUUAGAGUUAGCAGCUCAUAAUUAGAUGCUUCAUUUAUCACCUAGCUAGGUUAGGGCAUGCUAGCCCAGCAACAAAAUCUUGUGAUAUAAUCAAUAACUAGGGAUAUCACGCCAAGCUUCCAAGUAUUACCAUACACUACAAGAAAAAUGGGAAACAAUGACGUUUUUUAAGCGUCAAGAAAGGUAAUAGAUGACGCUUCUCUAAAGCGUCCUCUUCGCCUCUGUCAUUGUAUGUCUUAGGCAACAAUGACACUUUCAGGAAGCGCCAUCUUUGAUAAAAUAAAGGUUUUGUUUUUGGCUGAAAGAUGACUUUCCAAAACUCUAAAUCCGAUCUUCACCGUUCAAAUUUAAGAUUAAUGACUUAUGAACCUCUCCUCCAAAUUUCAGCUUAAUCAGACUAUGAAAAAAGCGGCAUCGGACCUUUGAUGAAAUCUGGGCAUGAUGUAAAAAACCACUAUUUUUCUCUCUUCUCCUCUUUCUCUGUAAUGACUGUCCGAAACUCCAAAUCCAAUCUUCACCGUUCAUAUUGAAGAUACAUGAGCCACGAACCUCUCCUUCAAAUUUCAACUCGAUCGGACCACGGAUGAAGCGGAAUCGGACAUUUGAUGAAAUCUGGGCAUGAUGAGAAAAACCUACGUUUUUCUCUCUUCUCCUCUUUCUCUCUAAUGACUGUCCAAAACUCCAAAUCCGAUCUCCACCGUUCAUAUUGAAUAUACAUGAGCCACGAACCUCUCCUUCAAAUUUCAACUCGAUCGGACCACGGAUGAAGCGGGAUCGGACAUUUGAUGAAAUCUGGGCAUGAUGAGAAAACCUACGUUUUUCUCUCUUCUCCUCUUUCUUUCUAAUGACUUUCCGAAACUCCAAAUCCGAUCGUCACCGUUCAGAUUGAAGAUAAAUGAGUCACGAAACUCUCCUCCAAAUUUCAGCUCGAUCGGACCACGGACGAAGUGGGAUCAAACCUUUGAUGAAAUCUGGGCAUGAUGAGAAAAACUUGCAUUUUUCUCUCUUCUCUUCUUUCUCACUAAAAACGAUGGCUCUCUCCCUUCUUUCUUGUCUUCCAAAAGUUAGGGUUUUCAAUGGAGACUUUAUAACAAAUUUUAAAAUAUCAUGCAUGUCCUUUUUCAAUAAAUUAAAAUAGUAUUCUUUAUUUCAUCUUCCAAUAAUAAUUUUUAUAUAUUGAACUCAUAAUGAAUUUAUAUUGUUUAAUUAUUUGAUAUUUUAGGUUGAUGUCGGUUUAAUUUGAAUAUUGAUAUUUUAAAAAAAAAACUAAUUUAAUAGAAUGAGCUUAAUUCCCAUAAAUAUUAGAAAGUUUUUAUAAAUAUUCUUAUUGCAUUUAGUUUUAUUGUGAGUCUAAUCAUCAUUAAAUUAAUUUAAAUAUUAAUUUAUUUCAUUUUAGUUAAAUAAUUUCAAAUUUAUAUUCAUUAACUAUAAAACAUUCUCAAAUAAAAGGGUUAAACCCAAUAAAUGUGGCCCAAGGCUCGAACAAGUGCUCAAAAUAGACCACUUUUUUAUGGUCCACAAAUAAAUUAACAAAUUAUUUUUAAAUGAAAUAUAAGAUAAUUUCUAAUUUAAUAAAAAUGAAAAAUAGUUUAUGAAAAUAGAUUGUAUUGAUACAAACUAUAAAAAAAAUUAAUAUCAAACAAUAAAAAAAUAAUUUAUUAGGAUUUUAUUUUAUUUAUAUCCAAAUUUUUUUUAAAAAACCUUAAUGUAGCAACUUUAUGUCAUUAAUAUUAAUGUUAAUUUACCAUAAUUAAUUUAUAGAAUAAAAUUCUAAUAUCAAAAUUUGUAUAAGUUAACUUAAAAACAAAAAUUUUAAAAGUCAAUACAACUAUGACACUUCUCAGGAACGUCAUUACAUACCCAUCAAAUAAUGAUGCUUAUAAUAAGUGUCAAGGUAAAUAAUAAAACUAUGACGCUUCUUAUAAGCGUCAUUAUAUACACAGUUAUAAGGAAAAAGAUGACAUCAAAUAAUGACACUUAUAAUAAGUAUCAAGAUAAAUAAUACAACUAUGACACUUCUUAUAAGCGUCAUUGUAUACCCUCAAUAAUGACGCUUUUAGAAAGCGUCAUAAAAUAAAGCGUCAUUAAUUUCAAUUUUUGUAGUAGUGAUAUGAUACAUAACCCAGACAAAAGGUAUACACUUGUAUACACGGUGGAUAUAUAAAUAUAAAUAUAAAUGGAUAAAAAGUGUCUUCAAAUAAAUAUUUAUGUUAUGAAUAUUUUAGGCUAUAAAGAAAAGGAAAUUGUUGUACGGUCCGUAUGGAGAUAUAUUGUGAAAAUGGAAGAAUAUUUUAAGACUCAAUAAUUAUAUAUAGUUUUAUAAUUAAUUUUUUUGCUUUUUAAGACCCCAUAAUUAUAUAUAGUUUUGUAAUGUAAAUAAUGAAUUAAUUUUUUGAUCCAUGUGUAAGAUUUAAAGACUCAAUAAUUAUUUAUGAUUUUAUGGCAUCCUUUUUCUGAUAGGUGUAUAUAAACAUAAUCUAUGGAACUAAAUUAAAACUUGGUGUAACUUCUUCAACCACAACUUAGAGAUUGAUAUAUGUUUUUUUAUUCACUUAUUUAUUUAUAAAGCUGAUAUUGCAACAUCCAUGCCUCGUCGAUCUCCUUACAUCAUCCGUGGAGUUAUUUUUAGCAUAAAUUAAGGAGUAAUUAUUUAUUUAUGGUAAACGAGGCCUAAGCUUGGUGGUGGCUCGCACACCUUAAGCGCUGGGGUCUUCAUCAAGGACCAUAGGAGAAAGGGACCUGAGCUCCAGAGGAAGAUCCAUCCUCUUCCAAUCCAGAGGACGAUCGACCUUCUCCCAAUCCAGAGGACGAUCGACCUUCUCCCAAACAUAUGCCUCGUAGUUGGUCAAGACGUCUUCGUGUUUGGCUACAAGAUGGAGUAGGUGAAUGCGGCCGCGGCCUCUGGAGAGGCGCUGAUACCACCCCUCGUACACGUUAAUGAAUUCCAGGUGCCAGUUCGCCUUCCUGUUUUUCUCCUUCACGGCGAACUCUCCCAAUAAUUGCAGCUGAAAUACAUUGUGGUUCCGAAUCCAUUUGUCACCUUCCAGUUGAGUUAUGAUUCCGCCCAGAUCCAUGUGAGUCAUUGCUCCGUCGAGUUUCAGGGGAGCCGUGUGGCGGUGGAGCUGAACCUGAGCCAUCGUGCGGACGCCGUAGACUUGUCAAAGUUGUGGGUUUAGGAUAGGUUUUUGUGGAGGUGGUGGUGGCAGAUGUGGUGGCGGUGGCUCCAUUUAUAGACUGGGAAAUGAUGAUGAUGAUGAUGGAAAAUGCCCUUCAACUUUCUUGGAGCUACGGGAAUACGAAUCUACGGUUUUUGGCAGAGGAAGACAUCUCUGAAAAUUGACGUUGAUAUAGGAGAUAAUGGAAAAUAAAUAAAUUAAUUGAAAUUUCUAAAUAGUUCAAAAAAAAAAAAUUAAUAUCAAAUAAUCACCAAAAUUGGAAUCAAGUAUCGCAAAACCAUUAAAUAUUUUUUAUACCAUUUAUCAUAUGAGCACUAACAUUAAUUUUUGUUUAAAAAAUAAAAUUAAAAUAUUAAAUACAUUUAAUAAUUGAAUAGAUAUUUAUUUCCUACUUUAAAAUGAAAAACAUAAAAUAAUAUUUAUACCUAAUUAUUGGUAGAAUAGAUCUAAUGUCUACGAAGAUAUCCUUUUGGAAGAAAUGAGGGAAUACAUUUGGUAACAUUUGGUGCAUUAUUAGAUGGUGGGGCCCUUGGAUAGUCCCUCACAUGAAAAAAUAACUAGAAAAAUCAUCGAGUUAGAAUUUUACAUUUUGCCUUCCUUUUUUAGAAUUGACAUUAUUGAAUGAUAGAAUCAUUUUUUUGUGAUUGAUGUUGAAUAGCGGAAUCAAUUAUCCAUCUUUAUUCUUUUAGGACAAUAGAAUCUAUUGUCUAUUUUUGUUUUUGUACUUAUUGUGUGGUGUAAAGGCUAUUUUUUAUUCCAAAAAGUAAUAACAAAAAAUAAAAAUAAAAUAAUAAAUAAAAAUAAUUUAUUCACUUAAAUUUUAACUUUCAUCUUUUUUUACUUUUUCUUUAUAUUUUUUUCUUAAUUAAUGUAGAAGAAUAGAGGUUUUUUGUAUGAUUAAGAUAAAACACCCAAAUCAAUUCUUUUUAUUUUGCUAUGAUGUGGAGAAUAUUAAAUUAUGGUAUAAAUAGCAUUUGAAGAGGCAUUGAUACCCCUUUCAUUUAAUUGAAUUACCUUGUCCCGAUUACCCCUCAAUUAUUUUGUUUUCCUUACGUCUUUUUUUAAUGCAUUUGGUUUUAUUUAUCAAAUAUAUAUAGAGAAAGAGAGAGAGAGAGAUAAUGUUUUAUAUACAUCAUAAUUCAUUUUUAAGUAUUUGUGCACCUCCAAAUUUGAUGUGUAAGUGUGGACCCCGCAUUUCGACUCGCUCAAUGCGUUUCCCACUCGAUGACGAGCUCGAUUUUUAUUUUGAAAAAUUGAUUUUAUUGAUUAUUUGAAAAUGACUUGGAGUCGCCACUUAUUUUUGUUUUAUUUUUUUUAAAGGGUAAACAAAAUAAGAAAGAAAAACCCUAAGUGUGACUCCUUAUUUUGGAAAAGGUGGUCUGUGAAAAACCGGAUCGGGUUCGGGGGUCAGGUUACUUAUCGGGAAGGUACGGUAAAGACCGUAGCACCCUUCUAAGUCCCUAAAAUCGGGUCUCUACUAAUAAAAUGAAGCUGACAUGACAAUCAAUGAGGAAAUCGAUGAAUACUCAAAUCGAUCAUGCACAAUAUGAUAAGCAAAGCAUGUAUAAUGAAUAAUCAAAAUGAGAAUGAGUGCGUACCUGGACCUCCAGUGACAAAUGCGCUAUCAUGAAGCAGGAUCAGUGAAUAAUGAAUAUGUACAUAUACUUGUAUGCAUGUCAAGGAACAAAAUGAAUCAAACACGCAUGGCAAAUAAAUCAACCAAACAGUCAAUCAGUCACGAGAUCAUAUAUGUGGGGCCCCCACCAAAGCCCGUUUAUUUUGCAUGAAUUAAUUUCAUAAAUUCCAUUAUUUGGAAUUAUGAAAUUAAAUUCCAGCUUGUUUUCAAAACAUUUCGGAAAUCAGAUGAAGUUACGAAAAUUUGCAUGCCGAAGGAAAAGUGGUGUCAAAAUUUUAUUUGAAUGGGAUUUUUGAAACCUAAGAAAAACACUAAGGAUGGAGAAAUUAGGUGAUUUGAAAUUAUUUUAAAACAACUUGAAAUAGCGAAAUUAUUUGGAAACAAAUAUGGGUUGGAGAAAUUACUUACAAAAUUGGGUUUUGGGAAAAUUAUGCUUUUAAAAUCAAAUGAGAAAAAAAAUGGAGCAAUGAUUAAUGGUCACAGAUUGUAUGCCUAAAGUUGCUAUACAAACAGGGAUUAUGCAGAAGUGGGCCCAGGAUGAAAAGAAAUGUAGGCGGGAAUGAGGGUGACUUGCAUCCAGGUUUUGUAUUCAUUUCAUAACGCUACUUUCGAGAACCUGGGCUCCAUGGUUCACGUGAUGCUGCAUGCACUUGCAGCACACGAAUUGACGCUCUUUCACAAUGCUUAUAUUCCACCAUACUCGAAAUCCCAUUCAGGAGUUCCUUCUCUGAAUUAAAGACCUGCUAACCAUCCUUAAAAAUGACCAGCCUCAUGCUCCAUCCUUCGGCAGAAGGGCAGGUGUUGCCCCCAACACAGCAAGCAAGUUGGCUCUUCCUCUUUCUACUCUCCUCGAGAGCACUCAUCACCUGCAGACUCACUAGCUGAGACAUCUUCACCAGCCUCAGAAGCGUUUUCACCAUCCUCAUCAUCAGCAUCUGCACCACUUUCUCCUCCAACAACCUGACAAUCCCUCUCUUGUCCAUCACCCGCUCGGAAUGGCCGUCUUCCAGGAUUGUGCUUUGCCAAAGGCACAACCUGGGUACUAGCAUCUCCAUAGACAACAAGAUUAUCCUCCUCAAAAUCACCAUUAGGUGAUAAUUCUCCCUUUUCUUUUUCAAUUUUGGAUGGUCCAACAGAUUCUCUGAUGAAGCAUCAAAGCCAAGUUUGUGUUCAUGACCUCCCUCAAUAGCAACAGUUUGAUGCGUGCCACGAACAAUGAAACGACCAAGUGAGAGAGAAAUAGAUCAAAUGGGAAGUGAGCAGUAAGCUUGACCAUGUUCACCAUUGACGGAAUACCUCUACAAAAACGGGUGAAAGGCAUGGUUUGCUCGCGGACUAGGGCGUCCUCCAAAUACCCUCUGGCCAUGGUCAAAAGCAACAUACUGGUUGCCCGAGUAGUCACCCUGGUAUUCUUGAAGUGAACUCUGGAAUCUGAGUCCCCGAUAUUGCAAAACUUGGUGGGAUUGUCUGAUUCUCCAGAGCACUUCACCAUGGCGACUUAUGAUGCUACUGCUUUUGAUCCAGCUUCAGGCUAAUACUGACAUGAAAGCUCGCUCAUAUUAUAUCCGAAUAUGGAAAUGCCAACACGUCUUCAGCAUGUAGUCAAUCAACCUAAACGUGAAGCUCGAUAGUCCCCUCAGCAUCUAUUGAUGUCACGGUACAUAGAGGGGAAGAACCAUCGAGAACAAUUGCAAAGCCUGAUGGUGAGAGAGCCACGAAGCUGGGACCCUCGCUGAUCAUGAGUCCAUGGCUGUGGUUGCUUGGCGUUCCGGUGAUGACAGAGGCGCUUCGCCGCCGGAGGCAAGCCGCCGGCGUCGUUCGAGGGCAGCUUUGUUUGUUUUAUUUCUUUCUCAAUUCCUUCUAGUCCCCCAAAGUAACCCAACAAAAGCUCCUCUUCCUUCUCCUCCUCUGUAACAGCUUUCUUUUCUCCCGGAUUUGCCCCUCCAACCAACUCUGCAGCAACAGCCACCCCCUGCACCACUACUCUGCAGCCUUCCCAAAAGCACUCCUCAAAACGGCCAGACCACCACCUUCAUGCAGCCCCUUUUAUCCCUCAAAUAACAGCCAAAAAAAAAGAUUUUUGUCUGAUUCCAUGAUGACACGUGUCGACCCCAGAUUGGCCUUCAAGAGCAUCCAUGAUGGCCAAUCAGAGAGUGACACGUGGCCAAAUGUGCUGCAGCAGAUCAAGCCCCACAUGGGGGUCUACAGUAAGCCUCUUUGAUAUAGAAUGUAUUUAGUAAUUUUUUUCUUAAAAAUGAUUUUAAUGAAAAUAUUUUUUUUUUAAAGUGUUUUUAAGAGAAUCAUUUAUCAAGUUUUAUCUAGAAAAUAUUUUAAGCAAUUUUUGAAUUUUUUAAAAAUAUUUUUUUAAUUUUAUCAAAUAUUUUAUUUUUCUUUAUAAAUAUUUUUUAGGUUAAUUCUUUUUUUUUUAAAUAUUGUUAAAUACGCUCUUAUUGAAAUCUGUCUUUGUUUGUAUGAGAAUUUUCUAUUAAUUUUUUCUAUAUGUUUUUGUUAAUUUAUAAUCCUUCAUCAUAUAUAUAUAUGAAAAGAACUUGAUAAAUUCACCUUAAUUAACAUUAUUUUUCUUGCUUUUGCUAAUAACGGCCCUCUUCAAGUAGGUAAGGUUGUGUUUGGUUUGAAAAAUAUUUUGUAUUGAUUACCAACAUUUUUUUAUUUUUACAAAAUAAAAUUAAAACUAUUAGCUAUAUUCAAUAAUGGGGAGAAAAAAAAUGUAUUUAUUAUUUUUCAAUAAGGGAUUUUUUUUCCUCAAAAUUUCAUGGGGCUUAAUUGGCUCCCCACGUACGGAACAAUGAUAUUGCCAUUUGCAUGAGAUUCACACGUGUUUAAGUUGGUUUACAAUUCAAGGAUAUUAAAGUUUAGGAGGUGUUUAAUAAAAUUAUAAAUUAAAUAUUGAAAAAAAAAAAUUAGUGAUGAAUUAUAGGUGGGUGUUGAACUAAAAGAAGUGAAAGUAUUUGAUAGUAUUUUAGGUUGAAGUAAUAACAUUACAUUUGGUUAGCAAUAUAGGAUAUGAUAAUAAGAUAUGUAUAUAUUAGGAUAUACAUAUCUUAUUAACACGAUAUUUUAAAAUAACAUAUCAAGGGGAUAUAUUGUAUUAUAUUAUAUUUAAAUUUAAUUUGUGAAAUGAAUAAAAAAAAAAAUAUGAAAUAUACAUUAUUUUCAAUAUUUAAGAUAAAAAUUAUAUCACAUUCAAUAUUUUCUAUUAAAAAAAUGAAUUUUUUUUAUAUUUAACAAUAUUCACGAUUAAAAUAUUUAAACUUUCUGAAUAAAAUUUUUUUAUAUUAUUUUAUUCAAUAUAUAAAAAUAAUUUAUAUAUUAUGUAUCAAUAUUAGUUUAUAAUUUUUUAAAAAAAAUUAUUUUUUUAAUCAUAAAUUUAAUUUAUAAUUAAAAAAAUUAUUUUUCAAAACAAAGAUAUAAAAAAAGUAAAAAUUGAUUAAAAAAAAUUAGAUUUAUAAUACAUGAGAUAUGUAUAUCUCAUAUUUUAGUAUGAGAUUAACAUAUUACAUGUAAAAUUAAUAAAUAAAAGCAGGCGGAUAAUAUAUCUCAUGUUUGGUUAAACAUUAGAUAUGAUAAGUGAUAAGAUAACUUAUCUUAUCUCAUCACUGAUCAAAUAUGGUGUGAAACCAAGGUUUGAUUAAUCUUGAUUUUGAUGAUAACAAAACAAGGUUUAGAACUAAUGAUCAUAUUUCAAGUGUGAUUAGGUAAAAUGAUUUCCAAAGUGGCAAUCACAAAGACAAAUCAAGCCAAGAAGAAAUCAUGAAGAAGAAGACCACCUCAAAGAGAAGAGUUUUUCAAGACCAAAGCUUUUUAAGAUCUCUUUGUAAGGUUGUUGGUGUAUUAGGACUUUCAUGAAUUUCAUUCUUUAUUUAUGCACCAAAAUCAUCCAAAAGUAAUAUUGUUUUAAAUAUCUUAAGAAUUGGAUGAUUUCAUGUUUUCAAUUAAAACCUUAUGUUAAAUGAUUUUCAAACUUGUGUUAAAAGGUUUUAAGUUGAAACAGGUUGAGUGUUGAGCCAAAAAAAUGGCUCAACCGGUCGACCGGUUGUGUUCGUCCGAUCGAGGACCGAUUGAGGGAGGCAAAAAAGUUUCUCUCUCUCCCAGUGGCCUUCUCUUCCCGGUCAAGGUUGAACCUCAACCAGUUGAGGUUCCGAUGAGGUCCGGUUGAGGUCCGAUUGAGGCUCAACGAUUACUUUUCCUAACGGCUAGUCAACCGGUCGAACCCCCAACGGCUAGUUUGACUUUUUUCUUCUAUAAAAAGGUUUUAAUCUUCAUUGUUUCAUAAGGUUAACCUUCUCAAAUCAUUCUUGAAUAUAUUUGAGCCUUGGAAGAGUGUUUUUGAGUACACCACUGUUUUAUAACUUGCAUAUCUUUAGUGCACCAUUCAAUCCUAGUUUUUCUUGUAUCUUUGAGCCUAAAGUUCUAUUACUAGGAUUUUUGUGAGAUCAAUCUUUGUAUAUCUUUGAGAGAAAUUUUCUCAAGUGAGGGGUAUCACUUGAGAGGUUGUUCAAAAGUAGGAUAACUCUUGAGAAGUGUAAAGGGUGCUUGGAGCCAAAAGUCCAAAAGGGUGAAUUGGAAUCAUAAUCCAAUUGUAAAGAGAUUGGAAGCUUGGUUGAAGCUUCAAGAUAGUGGAACCCUCACUUAGUUAGGAGGUUGAGGAGAGUGGACGUAGGCAAGAAAGUGCCGAACCACUAUAAACUCUCGUGUUUGCACUCUCUCUUCCCUAACUCUUUUAAAUUAUAUGCAAUUGUCUUUAUUUUGUUUAUUAUAUACUUGCAUAUAAUUGUCUCUUAUUUUUGCAUAGUUUAAAUUUGUGAAAAAUAGACCAUCACCCUAUUUACCCCCCCCCCCCCCCCCCCCCCCCCCUCCUCUAGGGUGAUUACCAUAGUUUGGAUUAGCCUCAAAUUCCUAACACAUGGCAUAAGACAUUAAUAUUUUCUCUCUUAUAUUAUCUCAUAUUGUAUUCAGACAACCAAACAUGACCUAAAUGAUUCAUUUUUAUGAGAUUUAAAUUUAACUUUAUAUUUAUCAUAUGAUUUUUAUUUAUUUUUUAUGAAAGGAAAUUACAAAAUAUAAUAAAUACAAAUUCGAUUGAAAGAGGAGUUACAAUAAUCUUCAAAACUAAACUUUAUAACAUCUUUAGGAAAAGUUGACCAUAUUCUAUUUGCUUCCUUAUAAAUAUAUCGACAAUCUUAAAUAUUUAGAUCUUGAGAUAACUUUCAAAUAUCUUUUAUUAAUAACAUAAAAGAACGAGAAAUUUAUAUCAAUCUAUGACUAUUCUUAAGUCAUCCUUGAUAUCUAAGUUUAAGAACCCAGUAUUCUUGUUAGCUAACAUAUCAUUUCUUAAAGUCAUCCAUUUUGUAAUAAUUAUUGAAACAUUACUUAUAUGUCUACUUGUAACUAUUUCCAUAGUACCAUUAGAGUCUCUAAUAAUUUAUCAUGAAUCACUUUAAUUCUUUAUCCUUAAACCAUCAAAAUUUAAUUUAAAUCUUCCAUUAAUCAAAGAAAUUCAACGAAUCCAUUUUUCAACCAUUUGAAGGAUAUUAUUUCUCUCGAUUUGAAGAAAUGAGUCAAUCAUAUAAUUCUGAAGAUUUUGGAAGUUUAAGGUAACUUUCUCAAUGACGAGAAAGGGAUUGAGAUGAAUCUUCCUAAAAAAUACCUUAUUUAUAUGAAUUCAUACAUCCCACAAGGUAAUGAAAUUUUUUUCCAUAGGAUGUUGGAAAAUUUUGUAGUUAAUUUUAUGGUUUUCAUGCACCGUUUCAAGCCAAUCAUAUGAUAUCUUUGAAAGUUUAUGUAUUAGAUAUGAUAUUUCGGAGAAACAAAAAUAUAUCAUAUAACGAUCUGCUCCCAACCAUGUAGAUAUUGUCCGCUUUGGACCCAAAGGGACCCUUACGACUUUAAAACACAUCUUUAGGGUUAAAAGAAGUACAUACUUAUAUAGCACCAAGAACUAUACCCUCUAUCUGAUAUGGAAUGUCACAAAACCCCCCUCCCCCCUAUGCAGACACAACGAUCUCGUUGUGUCCCAUGAGAUUACGGGGUCAAACAGACGAACACCCUUACGAGGCCAAACAAACCCCACACCAAGGUUAGGGAUCGGCUCUAAUACCAUUUGUAACGACUCGCUUCCAACCGUGUAGAUAUUGUCUACUUUGGAUGCAAAGGGGCCCUCACGGUUUUGAAACACGUUUACAGGGUUAAGAGAAGUUCAUACUUAUAUAGCACCAUGAACUUUCUCCCCUAUCCGAUAUAGAAUGUCACAUAUCAUUUAAGUAAAAGUAACUCUUUAUUUAAUAAUACAAUUUCGCAUAAUAAAGUUAAAACUAAAAAAAAAAAUUGCUAGUUUUUAUUCUAUAGAAAUUUAACAACUAUUUUUUAACUAUCAUCUACUUCAAAAUUAGUUAUAUAUGGAAAAAAAUUGAUAUCAACUAUUAAUUAAAUUUAUUUUUAGCUUCAAAAUCUAAAUUAUAAGAAUAAAAUUAAUAAAAUAAAUUUCUUUAUAAUUCUAGUUUUAUUUUAUAUAUUCAAUAUACUUCCCAUAAAUCCACCAUUCUCUUACUAUGUUUUAAUCUUAAUCAUUUAUAACUAAUAAAUAAAUUUAAGCAUAAUUUAACAUUAUUCUAAAAAUAUCUCAUAAAUAGUAAAUAAUAAUUUUAAAAACAGUCAAUUAUUAAUAAAGGGUAAACACUAUCAACUUUUCUUUCAUGACUGGUGGAAUAUUCUUUAGCAACAACUCUAAUUAAUGUGGUUACAUCUACCAUAAAGCCAAAUAAUCACGAUUCUAACUAAAAGGUUUCUACAUGAAUAGUAACUAGGUAGAAAUUGAGGAACUUCCAACUCUAAAACUCAAAAUAUUUAGCAACAACUAGUUAGAUUUUAUCAAAGUUCCAAGACAUNNNNNNNNNNNNNNNNNNNNNNNNNNNNNNNNNNNNNNNNNNNNNNNNNNNNNNNNNNNNNNNNNNNNNNNNNNNNNNNNNNNNNNNNNNNNNNNNNNNNUUUUUUAUGAAAGGAAAUUACAAAAUAUAAUAAAUACAAAUUCGAUUGAAAGAGGAGUUACAAUAAUCUUCAAAACUAAACUUUAUAACAUCUUUAGGAAAAUUUGACCAUAUUCUAUUUGCUUCCUUAUAAAUAUAUCGACAAUCUUAAAUAUUUAAAUCUUGAGAUAACUUUCAAAUAUCUUUUAUUAAUAACAUAAAAGAAUGAGAAAUUUAUAUCAAUCUAUGACUAUUCUUAAGUCACCCUUGAUAUCUAAGUUUAAUAACCCAGUAUUCUUGUUAGCUAACAUAUCAUUUCUUAAAGUCAUCCAUUUCGUAAUAAUUAUUGAAACAUUACUUAUAUGACUACUUGUAACUAUUUCCAUAGUACCAUUAGAGUCUCUAAUAAUCCAUCAUGAAUCACUUUUAUUCUUUAUCCUUAAACCAUCAAAAUUUAAUUUAAAUCUUCCAUUAAUCAAAGAAAUUCAACGAAUCCAUUUUUCAACCAUUUGAAGGAUAUUAUUUCUCUCGAUUUGAAGAAAUGAGUCAAUCAUAUAAUUUUGAAGAUUUUGGAAGUUUAAGGUAACUUUCUCAAUGACGAGAAAGGGAUUGAGAUGAAUCUUCCUAAAAAAUACCUUAUUUAUAUGAAUUCAUACAUCCCACAAGGUAAUGAAAAUUUUUUCCAUAGGAUGUUGGAAAAUUUUGCAGUUAAUUUUAUGGUUUUCAUACACCGUUUCAAGCCAAUCAUAUGAUAUCUUUGAAAGUUUAUGUAUUAGAUAUAAUAUUUCGGAGAAACAAAAAUAUAUCAUCUAACGAUCUGCUCCCAACCGUGUAGAUAUUGUUCGCUUUUGACCCAAAGGGGCCCUCACAACUUUAAAACGCAUCUUUAGGGUUAAAAGGAGUACAUACUUAUAUAGCACCAAGAACUCUCCCCUCUAUCUGAUAUGGGAUGUCACAAACACCCCCCCCUCCCACCCCCUCCCUAUACAGACACAACGCUCUCGUUGUGUCCCAUGAGAUUAUUGGGUCAAACGGACGAACACCCUUACGAGGCCAAACAAACCCCACACCAAGGUUAGAGAUCGGCUCUAAUACCAUUUGUAACGACUCGCUCCUAACCGUGUAGAUAUUGUCUACUUUGGAUGCAAAGGGGCCCUCACAGCUUUGAAACACGUCUACAGGGUUAAGAGAAGUCCAUAUUUAUAUAGCACCAUGAAUUUUCUCUCAUAUCCGAUGUAGGAUGUCACAUAUCAUUUAAGUAAAAGUAACUCUUUAUUUAAUAAUACAAUUUCGCAUAAUAAGGUUAAAACUAAAAAAAAAUAAAAAUUGCUAGUUUUUAUUCUAUAGAAAUUUAACAACUAUUUUUUUAAUUAUCAUCUACUUCAAAAUUAGUUAUAUGUGGAAAAAAAAUUGAUAUCAACUAUUAAUUAAAUUUAUUUUUAGCUUCAAAAUCACUGCUUCAACCAAGCCUUGAAUUGCUUUCAAUUGGAUUGUUGGUUCAGGUGGAUAUUCUACAAAGCUCCUCAAGUGAUUACUUACACUUGAAUUCUUUUGUCCCAAUACUUUAUACCUGAAUAAAGGUGAACAACUUUAGUUUAUAAAUUUAGGUUCUAGGAAUACAAUAAUAAACUAUGAUUGAAGAUAUUGUAUUAAAGGAUUGCAAAUUUUGCUUAAAUACAUUCAAGGAUAAUAGUAAGCUUGUUGCAUGGAGAAAACAAUAUACUCUCUCAAUGAUGAAUGUGUAAAUGAAGUCUUAUAUAUAUGAAUUGGUAACUCAAAUUAAACGUUAGGUACAAAAGAUUACCUCAACUAGUUGAACAUAGUGAUUAACUGACCAAUUAGUCAUUAAAGCUCAUAAGAGUACUACAACAAUGACUAUUAGUCAUAGUUGGUUUGAUUGGUCUCACCAAGUGGCUCAAUUAGUGGCUUGACCAAUUGAGGCUCUACCUCAACCAAUGACCAAUUUCUAAAGUACUUCUCAAAGCCUCCAAAGUCACCUCAUUAGUCGCACCUAUAAGUUGAUCGAUCUCCCUCAAUUAUGCAAAAUUUGAAUAACUUUUGAGAUGAUUUUGAAAGUAUUUCAUUCAAAAAGAUUUUCACCCUAAUUUAUAAAAAUUGUAGUAGAUGAGAAUGACAAUGAUCCACAAUCUACUACAAUGAAAAGGGAAUCAAAAUCUUAACAAGGGUAAAAUUUGGUUUUUCAUAAGAAUGAACUUUUGUUUAUAUAUUCUUUCUACUACUACAGUAGUAAAAAAAUGGAAUGAAUUUUUCAUUCAUUCCCACUUGCUCUUCCAUAUUCCAAACAUGUCGUUGGUUAAAUGAACUAGGAUAUUUUUAUUUUAUGAUUCUCAUUGUAAUAGACUUAUAAAGGAAAAUUAAUUUAAAUAUUCUUUUAUUUUUUAUUAAGAUAUGUAACUUUUGUUUUUUAACCACCUCCUUAAUUUUAAAUUUUGUAGAUUUUGCACAUGAUUAAUCUCUUUCAAAGCUUAUAAUUGAGGGGAUGAAGUUAGACUAUUCUAAUACUUUUAUAAAUUAAAUAUAAAUAUGGUGCUAACAAUCUACUGAGUUUCGAUUUUUUUUAUGAUUUUUUAUUUUAUUAGUUUAAUAAUUCAAUAUAAAUAAUUAACAGGUGGAAUACUUCAAGAAAUUAGUUCCCGAGUAUAAGUGCGUUUAAGUCUUUUACAAAAUAGUGUAGAGAAAAACAAAUUAUUAUAUCUCUUUAUACCUAUCUAUUUUAAUAAGGUGGAUAAAGAAAGAUACCAAAAAAAAUUAAAAACCUUAGAUUUUUAUUCACGGUUGGCAUAUAAAUAUAAAUGGAUAGAAAGUGCCUUCAAACGAAUAUUUAUGUGAUGAAUAUAUUAGGCUAUAAAGAAAAGAAAGGUCUGGUAUGGAGAUAUGUUGGGAAAAUGGAAGAAUAUUUUAUGAUUCCUUAAUUGUAUAUAGUUUUAUAAUGUACAUAGUGAAUUCAUUUUUUUGAUCCAUGCAUAGGAUUUUUUUAAGACUCAAUAAUUAUUUACGAUUUUAUUGCAUCCAUAAUGAAAUGAUAUAAUCAUAGUCUAUGGAACAAAAUUAAAACUUCGUGCAACUUCUUCAACCACAACUUAGAGAUUGGUAUAGAUUUAUUUAUUUAAAAAGCUGAUAGUACAACAUCCAUGCCUCCGUCAAUCUCCUUACAUGAGUUAUUUUUAGCAUAAAUUAAGGAGUAGUUUAUUUAUUUAUGGUAAACGAGGCCUAAGAUGGGUGUCGGCUCUCACACCUUAAGCGCGCGGCUCUAUUUCCGGGCACAGACGAAUGAAGUACACGAGCUCCAGAUGAAUCUUCAUCAGGUGCGCGUCCAGAGGAAGAUUCAUCUUCUUCCAAUCCUGAGUACAAUUCUUCUCCCAGACACAUGCUUCGUAGUUGCCCGGGACGCCUUUGUCUGUGGCUACAAGAUGGAUUUUGUGAAGGGUGCCGCGGUUUUGGGGGAGAGUCUGAUACCACCCUUCAUACGUGUUAACGAAUUUCAGACUGCAGCCCUUCUCCCUGUUGUGCUCCAUCACGGAGAACAUUCCCAACAAUUGCAGCAGAUCUUCGUCGUGGUUCGGAGUCCAUAGUUUGCUUUCCAGUGUAGUUAUUUUUCCGCCUAGAUCUAUCUGAGUAUUUGCUCCGUCGAGUUUCAGGGGAGCCAUGUUGCGGUAGGGUUGCACCUGAGCCAUCGUGCGGCCGCCGGAGACUUGUCAAAGCUUUAGGUUUAGGAUAGGUUUUUGUGGAGGUGGUGGUGACAGAUGUGAUGGCGGUGGCUCCAUUUAUAGACUCGGAAACGAUGCUUAUGAUGAUGAUGGAAAAUGCCCUUCAACCUUCUUGGAGCUAGAGGAAUAGGAAUCUAGGGUUUCUGGCAGAGGAAGACAUCUCUGAAAAUUGACGUUGAUAUUAUCCAUUUUGUUUGUAGGCGUAGGAGAUAAGGAAAAAAAAAUUAAAUUAAAAUUUCUAAAUAGUUCGGAAAAAAAAAAUGUUAACUAACCGAUUUAACUUUAAUUUUUAAAACCUGAUAGUAGAAAAUAGAAUAAUAAUAACUUAUUAUAAAUGUUUCCUUCUCAAAAAUAUUUCUUUUUAAGACAAAAAUUUGAAAUGGAAAGUUUUUAUUUUACCUACCAAUUAACAUCAAAUAAUCACCAAAAUUGGAAUCACUAAUAACAUUAGAAUUAUAGCAAAACCAUUAAAUAUUUCUUUUAAUUUUAUUUUAAAAUAAAAUUAAAAUAUUAAAUACAUUUAGUAAUUGAAUAAAUAUUUAUUUUCUACUUUAAAAUGGAAAAUAUAAAAUAAUAUUUUGUACCUAAUUAUUAUCCUUUUGGAAGAAAUGAGGGAAUACAUUGUUAACAUUUGGACUAACAAUGGUGGGACUCCAAGAUAUUCUAUCAUAUGAAGGAAUAAAUAGAAAAAUUAUCGAUUUAGAAUCUUACAUCUUUGUCUUUCUUUUUCAUGAUUGACAUUAUUGAACGAUAUAAUAAAUAGAAAAAUUAUCGGUUUAGAAUCUUAUAUCUUAGCCUUUUCUUUUUAGGAUUGACAUUAUUGAACGAUAGAAUCAUUUGAUCAUGAUAGAUGUUGAAUAGUGGAAUCAAUUAUCCAUUUUUAUUCUCUUUAUGUGGGAGACAUGGUCAAUUAUCAAUUUUUGUUUUUAUACUUAUGUAAAGGUUAUUUUUUAUUUUAAAAGGUAUUAAAAGAAAGGAAUGAGUUUGAAGUAGCAUAUAAAAAUAAUUUAUUAAUUUUAAUUUUUUUUAUUAUUAUUAUUUUUCUUUUCAUUUUUCCUCAAAUUGUUUGAAAACUAAAUAUAGCUUUAAGAAUUAUUAGUUCCUAAUCCCAUUAAAUUUUUAUAUUUUUUAUUAAUUAAUUUAGAAUAAUAGAGUUUUUUUUCCAAUUAAUGUAAAACACUUGAAUCAAUUCUUCUUAACUUGCUAUAAUGUGGAGAAGGUCAAAUUAUGGAGUAAAUACCCUUCGAAGAGGCAUUGAUACCACCCUUCAUAUAAUAGAAUUCCCUUGUCCCCUUACCCUGAUCAUUUUGUACUUUGGAGCAUUCCUGGGGCAUUUUUAUUUUUUAAUGCAUUUGAUUUUAUUUAUCAAAAAAAAAAAAAUGGAGUUCCUUUGUCAUCUUAAAUUGUUCCACCCUCAUGAUCUAAUUCGUAUGCUUUUCGAAACAGUAAGAACUCCCUAAUGCAAUUUUUUUUUAUAUGCAUCAUAAUUCGUUUUUAAGUAACUCUAAACCUCCAAAUUUGAUAUGUAAUCCUUUUUUAUUUAGAGCGCAUUUGGUAGUUUUUUUUCUUCAAAAAUAAUUUUUAAAAGUGUUUUUAGGAGAAUCAUUUAUCACUUUUUAUCUUAAAAGUGUGAUUUUUGAAUUUUUAAAAAAUGUUUUUAAAAUUUUAUUAAAUAUUUUAAUUAUUUUUCUUCAUAAAUAGUUUUGAGGUUAAAAAUACUGUGAAAUAGACUCUUAUUGGAAUUUAUUUUUGUUCAAUCAUGUACUAUCAAAAUUUUCUAUUAAUUUUAUCUAUAUAUUUUUGUUAGUUUAUAGUCCUUCAUCAUAUAUAUAUAUAUAUAUAUAUGAAGAGAACUUGAUAAAUUUGUCUUAAUUAACAUCAUUUUCUUACUUUGGAUAAUAUAUUACAACAAUGACCCUCAGUUGGUUUGAUUGGUUGCACCAAGUGGCUCAAGUGGUGGCUUGAUGUCAGCCCCUUAGAGCCUUGACUUAACCAUGGAGGAAUAGGCCUCAUGGGUAGGCCUUGCACCCAUGAGAGCCUAGGAUGAAAGCAGGGAAAUCCUGGAGGUUUGGUGGUUCAAACUCCAGGAGCCAUGUGAGAAGGUCGCGGGCGAGCCAGACACAUGCCUCGCGCGCACCAUGGGCAAGUCAGAUGUGCACCGCGGGCGAGCCAGACGCGCACCGCAGGCGAUCCAGACGCGCAUCGCAGGCGAGCCAGACGCGCACCGCACGCGCACCACGGGUGAGCCAAACAGGCACCGUGGGCAAGCCAGACACACACCGUGGGCGAGCCAGACAUGCACCGCAUGCGCACCAGAUGGGGAUCGCGUGCACACCUGACUUAGGUGGUGUAAAUGAAGGCUGAGGGACUUGGAAUUUUAAUUUAUAAUUAAAAUUAUUAUUCCAUUAUGUCUCCUCAGAUAUAUUGAUGUCUCCUCAAGAAACAAUGAAAACGGCAUGUAUUGCUCUUUAAGGGGGAGUAGGUGACUCAAAGAAGGGAGCCACCAAGAGAAGCCUUGACCGCACCAAGGGGGCACCAUGGCACGGCCUUGGGCAUGCCUAAGACACACGACACGACUCGAGCACACACACAUGGGCUCCACGACAUGUGUGGUGUGCACCUCGUGGCCGCAACGACACGGGGCAUGAUGUGGCCUACCCCCUCCUCGCACAGGCACGAGGGCGCUUAAGCCUUGUGCGGUGAGCCAGCUGAUGAAACCAUGGGUGCAAUGCCAUGGUCUGAUGGCUCCAAUAGAUGACUCGCACCAAGUUGCCUACGCACAAUACAGGGGCGCCAUGUCCUGUGCACCAAGAAGGAUUGGCCAUAGGUGCAAUGCCAUGGCUCGUUGUUGGGAAGCUGGGAAGCAAGCAACAAGCCCAAGCCAUGGGCACCUAGACAUGGCACGGGCUCACACAUCAGUGUGGGGAAGGCACACUGAUGCACCAGAUGCUUGGUCAGAUGGCUGAGGCAUGCUGCCUGACUCAGAGGGUCUUGAUCAAAGACAUGCUGAUGGGCACCCGAUCACAAGAGGCACCUUACGGGGGAGGGGUCGGCUUGUUAGGGGGACUCACUAGCAGCUUAACGAGCAGGACCUGAGGAGAUGACAGUGCAACUAGCUAGUGGCAGCUAGCUCAGUGACCAAGUCAAGUCGUCAUUUGACCUGCAGUUGGCUGAGGAAUGAUGGCUGGUGCAAGUGGGUGGCAGGAGCAGACCACUAUCUGGGUGGUGGGUGGUUUUGCAAGGCAGUUGAGGGCGGUUCAGGCCAGUUGCAUAAACCACCUAGUUGGCUCCAAGAUUUGAAUUAGGAAAUUCAAAUUUGUAAUUACAACUUGAGUCUUUUAAAAGGGCUCCUGCAGCCUUGAAACAGAGACAGAGUUUGGGGAAAAGGUUCCUUCUCGUAUGCCUUGGGUGAGAGCAUUGUACUCUAGUUCAGGAAGCAAUUUUGUCUUGUAAGAGUGAUUAAUACAAGUUGGGAAAGGAUUCCCGUAACCUCGUGUGUCCAUGUUGCUUUGUUAUUUCUGUGUUCUACUCUGUUCUUCUAAACGCUGGGAAGGGAAGGUUGACUAAGGAAGGGUCCUUAGCACCGCACACUCGUGAAAAAUUAAGUGUGAUAAUCAGGGGUGUGACACUUGACCAAUUGAAGCUUUACCUCAACUGAUUACCAUUCUUUGGAGCACCUCUCAAGGCCAUCUCAAUUGGUCGCACCUAUUAGUUGAUGCAUCCCCUCAAUUCUGAAAAAAUAUGUAGUAUUGGUUUUUCCGACUUGGGAUGAAGGAAAAACAACCGACUAUAUACCUCCAACAAAAUUUGAAAAACUUUUAAGAUGAUCUUGAAGAAUUUAAGAUUAGGUUUUUCAUUCAAAAAAAAUUUCAUCCCAAUUUAUAAAAAUUGUAGUGGAUGAGAAUGACAAUGAAUCGCAAUAUACUACAUGAAAAAGGGGGAUCAAAAUCUUAACAAGAGAGUAAAAUUUAGUUUUUCUUACUAAUAAACUUUUGUUUAUAUUUUCUUUCUAAAACACGAUCUCAUACUCUAGUAUUAAAAAAUGGAAUGAAUUUUUCAUUCCCCCUUCUCUUCCAUAUUCCAAACAUGUCGUUGGUUAAAUGAAAAGGAUAUUUUAUUUUAUGAUUCUUAUCAUAAUAGACUCAUAAAGGAAAAAUAGCAUGUUGUAUUGAUUUAAAUAUUUUUAAAUUUUUUAUUAAGAUAAGUAACCUUUGUUUUUUAACAACCUGUUAAUUUUAAAUUUUGUAGAUUUUGCACGUGAUUAAUCUCUUUCAAAGCUUUAAAUUCACUUUUAUAGGGGGGAUAUUGAAGUUAGACUAUUCUAAUAACUUUAUAAAUUUUUUAUGAUUUUUGACUUAUUAGUUUAAUAAUUCAAUAUAAAUAAUUAAUAUUUUAAGACUCCCUAACUGUAUAUAGUUUUAUAAUGUACAGAAUGAAUUAACUUUUUGAUCAAUGUAUAGGAUUUGAAGACUCAAUAAUUAUUUCUGAUUUGAUAGCACCCUUAAUGGAUUGAUUUUUUGGUAGGUGCAUAGAAACAUAGUCUAUGGAACAAAAUUAAAACUUAGAGAUUGAUACAGAUUUAUUUAUUUAUUUAUUUAUUUAUUUAAAAAGCUGAUAUUACAGCAUCCAGGCCUCGUCAAUCUCCUUAUACCAUAGGUGGAGUUAUUUUUAACAUAAAUUAAGGAGUAGUUUAUUUAUUUAUGGUAAACGAGGCCUAAGAUGGGUGCCGGCUCUCACACGUUAAGCGCGCGGCUCUAUUUCCGGGCUCAGAGGAAUGAAGUACAAGAGCACCAGAGGAAGCUUCAUCUGGGUCAAAUCCGAAGGAAGAUUCAUCUUCUUCCAAUCCAGAGGACAAUCGUACUUCUCCCAAACCCAUGCCUCGUAGGUGCCCGGGACGCCGUUGUCUGUGGCUACAAGAUGGAUUUUGUGAAGGAUGCCGAGUUUUCCGAGGAGGCGCUGAUACCAUCCUUCAUACGUGUUAACGAACUCCAGGCUGGAGCGCGUUCUCACGUUGUGCUCCAUCACGGAGUACGCUCCCAAGAUUUGCAGUUGAAUUACGUUGUGGUUCGGAAUCCAUUUUUGGCUUUGCACUGUGGUUAUGUUUCCGCCUAGAUCUAUCUGAGUAUUUGCUCCGUCGAGUUUCAGGGGAGCCAUGUUGCGGCAGGGUUGCACCUGAGCCAUCGUGCGACCGCCGGAGACUUGUCAAAGCUUUAGGUUUAGGAUAGGUUUUUGUGGAGGUGGUGGUGGCAGAUGUGGUGGCGGUGGCCCCAUUUAUAGACUCGGAAAUGAUGCCCAUGCUGAUGAUGGGAAAUGCCCUUCAACCUUCUUGGAGCUAGAGGAAUAGGAAUCUAGGGUUUCUGGCAGAGGAAGACAUCUCUGAAAAUUGACGUUGAUAUUAUCCAUUUUGCAUUUGUAGGCAUAGGAGAUAAGGAAUAAAUAAAUAAAUUAAAAUUUCUAAAUAGUUCGGAAAAAAAAAAUGUUAACUAACACGAUUUUACUUUAAUUUUUUAACCUUGAUAGUAGAAAAUAGAAUAAUAAUAACUUAUUAUACAUGUUUCCUUCUCAAAAAUAUUUCUUUUUAAGACAAAAUUUUGAAAUGGAAAGUUUUUAUUUUACCAGCCAAUUAACAUCAAAUAAUCACCAAAAUUGGAAUCACUAAUAACAUUAAGAGUAUAGCAAAACCAUUAAAUAUUUCUUUUAAUUUUGUUUUAAAAUAAAAUUAAAAUAUUGAGUACAUUUAGUAAUUGAAUAAAUAUUUAUUUCCUACUUUAAAAUGAAAAAUAUAAAACAAUAUGUGUACCUAAUUAUUAUCCUUUUGGAAGAAAUGAGGGAAUACAUUGUUAAUAUUUGGACUAGGAUCUGUGGGGCUCCAAGAUAUUCUAUCACAUGAAGGAAUAAAUAGAAAAAUUAUCGGUUUAGAAUUUUACAUCUUUGCCUUUCUUUUUCAAGAUUGACAUUAUUGAAUGGCAAAAUCAUUUGUUGGUGAUGGAUGUUGAAUAGUGGAAUCAAUUAUCCAUCUUUAUUCUCUUUAUGUAGGAGACAUGAUCAAUUAUCAAUUUUUUGGUUUUAUACUUAUGUAAAGGUUAUCUUUGAUUUUAAAAGGUAUUAAAAGAAACGAAUGAGUUUAAAGUACCAUAUAAAAAUCAUUUAUUAAUUUUAUUUUUUUUUAUUUUUUUUUUCUUUUCAUUUUUCCUCAAAUUGUUUGAAAACUAAAUAUAGCUUUAAGAAUUAUUAGUUCCCAAUCCCAUUAAAUUUUUAUAUUUUUAUUAAUUAAUUUAGAAUAAUAGAGUUUUUUUUCCAAUUAAUGUAAAACACUUGAAUCAAUUCUUCUUAACUUGCUAUAAUGUGGAGAAGGUUAAAUUAUGGGGUAAAUACCCUUCGAUGAGGCAGUGAUACCACCCUUCAUAUAGUAGAAUUCCCUUGCCCCCAUUACCUUGAUAAUUUACCCUUUAAAGAGGCGUUAAUACUACCCUUCAUAUAAUAGAAUUCCCUUGUCCCCAAUACCCCUCAAUUAUUUUGUACUCCGGGUGUCUUUAUGCCAUUUUUAUUUUUUAAUGCAUUUGGUUUUAUUUAUCAAAUAUAUAUAGAUAGAGAGAGAGAGUUCUAAUCUCAUUAAAUUUUCAUAUUUUUUAUUAAUUAAUAUAGAAGAAUAGAGUUUUUUGUCUUAUUAAUAUAAAACACCCAAAUCAAUUCUUCUCACUUUGCUAUGAUAGGGAGAAGAUUAAAUUAUGGUAUAAAUAGCAUUUGAAGAGGCAUUGAUACCACCUUUCAUUUAAUAGAAUUCCCUUGUCCCUAUUACCCCUCAAUUAUUUUGUACUCAGUGUGUCUUUAUGAUAUUUUUAUUUUUUAAUGCAUUUGGUUUUAUUUAUCAAAUAUAUAUAGAGAGAGAGCUUUAUAUGCAUCAUAAUUCAUUUUUGGGAGAAUCAUUUAUCUAGAAAGUAUUAAGUGAUUUUUGAAUUUUUUUUUUUAAAUGUUUUCUAAAUUUUAUCAAAUAUUUUAUUUUUCUUCAUAAAUAGUUUUUAGGUUAAAAUUUUUUUUUUUAAAAUAUUGUCAAAUACACUCAUAUUGAAAUCUAUCUUUGUUCUUCAAGUAUGAUGAGAAUUUUCUAUUAAUUUUUUCUAUAUGUUUUUGCUAGUUUACAAUCCUUCAUCAUAUAUAUGAAAAGAACUUGAUAAAUUCACCUUAAUUAACAUCAUUUUUCCUGCUUUUGGUAAUAACGGCCCUUUUCAAGUAGCUAAGGUUGUGUUUGGUUUGAAAAAUAUUUUUUAUUGAUUACCAACAUUUUUUUAUUUUUACAAAAUAAAAUUAAAACUAUUAGCUAUAUUCAAUAAUGAGGAAAAAUGUAUUUAUUAUUUUUCAAUAAGGGACUUUUUUUUCCUCAAAAUUUCAUGGGGCUUAAUUUGCUCCCCACCGAACAAUGAUAUUGUUAUUUGGAUGAGAUUCACACGUGUUUAAGUUGGUUUGCAAUUCAAGGAUAUUAAAGUUUAGGAGGUGUUUAAAAAAAUUAAAAUUUAAAUAUUGAAAAAAAAAAAAUCAGUGAUGAAUGAUAAGUGAGUGUUGAACUAAUAGAAGUGAAAGUAUUUGAUAAUAUUUAAGGUUGAAAUAAUAAGGUUACAUUUGGUUAAAAAAAAUUGAUAAAAAAAAAAAAAAUAUAUAUAUAUAUAUAUAUAUAUAUAUAUCUCAUAUCUUAAUAUGAGAUUAGCAUAUCUAUGUAAAAAUGAUAAAUAAAAGCAGAUAGAUAAUAUAUUUCAUGUUUGGUUAAACAUAGGAUAGUAUAAGUGAUGAGAUAAUUUAUUUUAUCCCAUCACUUAUCAAACAUAGGAUAAGAUAUAAUAUCCUCUCUUUUAUCUUAUCUCAUAUUAUUUUCAAACAACUAAAUAUGACCUAAAUGAUUCAUUUUUGUGAGAUUUAAAUUUAACUUUAUAUUUAUCACAUGAAUUUUUAUUUUUUUUUAUGAAAUGAGACUACAAAGUAUAAUUAAUAUAAAUUUGAUUUAAAGAUGAGUUACAAUAAUCUUCAAAACUAAACUUUAUAGCAUCUUUAGGAAAAUUUGACCAUAUUCUAUUCGCUUACCUAUUUGAAAAUUGGAUUUGUUGAAUUUCUUUGAUUAAUGAAAGAUUCAAAUUAAGUUUUGAUGGUUUAAGGAUAAAGAAUAAAAGUAAUUCACAAUGGGUUAUUAGAGAAUCUAAUGGUACUAUAGAAAUAGUUACAAGUAGACAUAUAGGUAAUGUUUCAAUAAUUAUUGCAAAAUAUAUGACUUUAAGAAAUGAUAUGUUAGCUAACAAGAAUAUUGGGUUCUUAAACUUAGAGAUCGAGGGUGACUAAGAAAUAGUCAUAGAUNNNNNNNNNNNNNNNNNNNNNNNNNNNNNNNNNNNNNNNNNNNNNNNNNNNNNNNNNNNNNNNNNNNNNNNNNNNNNNNNNNNNNNNNNNNNNNNNNNNNGACUUUAAGAAAUGAUAUGUAGCUACAGAUAUGGGUCUAAACUUAGAGAUCGAGGGGUGACUAAGAAUAGUCAUAGAUUGAUAUAAAUUCCUAGUCUUUUAUGUUUUAAUAAAAGAUAUUUGAAAGUUAUCUCAAGAUCUAAAUAUUUAAGAUUGUCGAUUUGAGGGAUAUUAUGUCCCUCGGUUUGAAAAUAGGGGUUAAUCAUAUAAUCCUGAAGAUUUUAGAAGUUUAAGGUAACUUUCUCAAUGAUGAGAAAGGGAUUAGGAUGGAUCUUCUUAAAAAAAUACCUUAUUUCUAUGAAUUCAUACAUCCCACAAAAUAAUGGAAAUUUUUUUCAUAAGAUGCUGAAAAAUUUUGAAGUUAAUUUUAUGGUUUUUAUACACCGUUUCAAGCCAACCAUAUGAUAUCUUUGAAAGUUUAUGUAUUAGAUAUAAUAUUUCGAAGAAAUAAAAAUAUAUCAUUUAAGUAAAAGUAAGUCUUUAUUUAAUAAUACAAUUUCGCAUAUUAAGGUUAAAACUGUAAAUAAAAAAAAAUUGCUAGUUUUUAUUCUAUAGAAAUUUAAGAACUAUUUUUUAACCAUCAUUUACUUCAAAAGUAGUUAUAUAUAGAAAAACAUUGAUAUCAAAUAUUAAUUAAAUUUUGUUUUAGCUUCAAAAUCUAAAUUAUAAGAAUAAAAUUAAUAAAAUAAAUUUCUUUAUAAUUCUAGUUUUAUUUUAUAUAUUCAAUAUACUUCCCAUAAAUCCACCAUCGUCUUACUAUGUUUUAAUCUUAAUUAAUUAUAACUAAUAAAUAAAUUUAAGCAUAAUUUAACAUUAUUCUAAAAAUAUGUCAUAAAUAGUAAAUAAUAAUUUUAAAAACAGUGAAUUAUUUAUAAAGGGUAAACACUAUCAACUUUUCUUUCAUGACUGGUGGAAUAUUCUUUAGCAACAACUCUAAUUAAUGUGGUUACAUCUACAAUAAAACCAAAUAAUCACGAUUCUAACUAAAAAGUUUCUACAUGAAUAGUAAUUAGGUAGAAAUUGAGGAACUUCCAACUCUAAAACUCAAAAUAUUUAGCAACAACUAGUUAGAUUUUAUGAAAGUUCCAAGACAUAAAAAAUUUAAAUUUUAUGAAGUCAAGCUAAUCCCCAACCUCCGUUAAUCACUUGUGAGAGAGGGUGAAUUAAGUGAUGAUUAAUUUAUGUGCAACAAUAAAUAAUUAAAUAGAUAAUGGAAUAAAAAGAGGUAGGAGAUGAGAAGCAAACUUCAAUUUUUAUAAUGGUUCAACCCAAUCUCGAUCUAUGCUCAUUCCAAUCAAGUUUCAACCCUAAGCCAAGGAUCCCAUUAAACCAUUGCUUCAACCAAGCCUUGAAUUGCUUUUAAUUGGAUUGUUGGUUCAAAUGGAUAUUCUACAAAGCUCCUCAAGUGAUUAUUUAUACUUGAAUUCUUUUGUCCCAAUACUUUAUAACUGAAUAAAGGUGAACAACUCUAGUUUAUAAAUUUAUGUUCUAGGAAUACAAUAAUAAACUAUGAUUGAAGAUAUUGUAUUAAAGGAUUGCAAAUUUUGCUUAAAUACAUUCAAGGAUAAUAGUAAGCUUGUUGGAGAAAACAAUAUACUCUCUCAAUGAUGAAUGUGUAAAUGAAGUCUUAUAUAUAUGAAUUGGUAACUCAAAUUAGACGUUAGGUACAAAAGAUUACCUCAACUAGUUGAACAUAGUGAUUAACUGACCAAUUAGUCAUUAAAGCUCAUAAAAGUACUACAACAAUGACUAUUAGUCAUAGUUGGUUUGAUUGGUCUCACCAAGUGGCUCAAUUAGUGGCUUGACCAAUUGAGGCUCUACUUGAACCAAUGACCAAUUUCUAGAGCACUUCUCAAAGCCUCCAAAGUCACCUCAUUAGUCGCACCUAUUAGUUGAUCGAUCUCCCUCAAUUCUGUAAAAUUUGAAUAACUUUUGAAAUGAUUUUGAAAGUAUUUCAUUCAAAAGAAUUUUCACCCCAAUUUAUAAAAAUUGUAGCAGAUGAGAAUGACAAUGAUCCACAAUCUACUACAAUGAAAAGGGAAUCAAAAUCUUAACAAGAGUAAAAUUUGGUUUUUCAUAAGAAUGAACUUUUGUUUAUAUAUUCUUUCUACUACUACAGUAGUAAAAAAAUGGAAUGAAUUUUUCAUUCCCGCUUGCUCUUCUAUAUUCCAAAUAUGUCGGUUAAAUGAACUAGGAUGUUUUUAUUUUAUGAUUCUCAUUGUAAUAGACUCAUAAAGGAAAAAUAAUUUAAAUAUUCUUUAGUUUUUUAUUAAGAUAAGUAACUUUUGUUUUUUAACUACCUCCUUAAUUUUAAAUUUUGUAGAUUUUGCACAUGAUUAAUCUCUUUCAAAGCUUUAAAUUCAGGGGAUCGAUGAAGUUAUACUAUUCUAAUAGUUGUAUAAAUUAAAUAUAAAUAUGGUGCUAACAAUCUACUGAGUUUCGAAUUUUUUUUAUGAUUUUCGAUUUUAUUAGUUUAAUAAUUCAAUAUAAAUAAUUAACAGGUGGAAUACUUCAAGAAAUUAGUUCCCGAGUAUAAGUGUGUUCAAGUCUUUUACAAAAUAGUGUAGAGAAAAACAAAUUAUUACAUCUCUUUAUACCUAUCUAUUUUAAUAAGGUGGAUAAAGAAAGAUACCAAAAAAAUUAAAAAGUACCUUAGAUUUUUAUUCACGGUUGACAUAUAAAUAUAAAUGGAUAGAAAGUGCCUUCAAACGAAUAUUUAUGUGAUGAAUAUAUUAGACUAUAAAGAAAAGAAAGGUCUGGUAUGGAGAUAUGUUGGGAAAAUGGAAGAAUAUUUUAUGACUCCUUGAUUGUAUAUAGUUUUAUAAUGUACAUAGUGAAUUCAUUAUUUGAUCCAUGUAUAAGAUUUUUUUAAGACUCAAUAAUUAUUUAUGAUUUUAUUGCAUCCAUAAUGAAAUGAUUUUUCUGGUAGAUGUAUAUAAUCAUAGUCUAUGGAACAAAAUUAAAACUUCGUGCAACUUCUUCAACCACAACUUAGAGAUUGGUAUAGAUUUAUUUAUUUAAAAAGCUGAUAGUACAACAUCCAUGCCUCCGUCAAUCUCCUUACAUGACUUAUUUUUAGCAUAACUACUUAAGGAGUAGUUUAUUUAUUUAUGGUAAACGAGGCCUAAGAUGGGUGUCGGCUCUCACACCUUAAGCGCGCGGCUCUAUUUCCGGGCACAGAUAGGGAUGGCAACGGGGCGGGUUCGGGGCGGGGCGCCCCCCUCCCAACCCCGCCCCGUUUAUUUAAACCAAUUCCCAUCCCCGUCCCAUUUAAAAAAUUAAACGGGGCGGGGCGGGGCGGGGCGGGGCGGGGCGGGUAUGCUACAUUCCCAUACCCGUCCCGUUUAACUUUUUAUUUAAUUUUAAUUUUAAUUUUUUUAAAAAAUUACUUUUAAAUUUUUUUAAUUAUAUUAAAAUAAAUAUAUUUUAUAAAUAAUUAAAUAAUUAUAUUUUUUAUAACUUAUUUUAUUAAAAAUAAUUUUUUAUUAUCUAUAUAUUAAAAAUAAUAAAAUAAAAAUUAAAUUAAUUUAAUUUUAAAUUUUAAAUUAAAUUUAAUUUUAAUUUUAAUUUUAUAUAUAAUCGGGGCGGGGUGGGGCAAUACCCGAACCCGCCCCGGGUUUCAAAAAAAAUCUCAAACCCGUCCUAUACCCGUUUAGAAAAAUAAUAUCCCACCCCAUUAGGGGCGGGGCGGGGCGGGUACCCGAAAUGACCCGCCCCAUUGCCAUCCCUAGGCACAGACGAAUGAAGUACACGAGCUCCAGAUGAAGAUUCAUCUGGUCCUCGUCCAGAGGAAGAUUCAUCUUCUUCCAAUCCAGAGGACAAUUCUUCUCCCAGACACAUGCUUCGUAGUUGCCCGGGACGCCUUUGUCUGUGGCUACAAGAUGGAGUUUGUGAAGGAUGCCUUGGUCUUCGGGGAGGCGCUGAUACCACCCUUCAUACGUGUUAACGAAUUUCAGGCAGGAGCCCGUCCUACUGUUGUNNNNNNNNNNNNNNNNNNNNNNNNNNNNNNNNNNNNNNNNNNNNNNNNNNNNNNNNNNNNNNNNNNNNNNNNNNNNNNNNNNNNNNNNNNNNNNNNNNNNAGUGAAUUCAUUUUUUGAUCCAUGUAUAGGAUUUUUUUUAAGACUCAAUAAUUAUUUAUGAUUUUAUUGCAUCCAUAAUGAAAUGAUAUAAUCAUAGUCUAUGGAACAAAAGUAAAACUUCGUGCAACUUCUUCAACCACAACUUAGAGAUUGGUAUAGAUUUAUUUAUUUAAAAAGCUGAUAUUACAACAUCCAUGCCUCCGUCAAUCUCCUUACAUGACUUAUUUUUAGCAUAAGUACUUAAGGAGUAGUUUAUUUAUUUAUGGUAAACGAGGCCUAAGAUGGGUGUCGGCUCUCACACCUUAAACGCGCGGCUCUAUUUCCGGGCACAGACGAAUGAAGUACACGAGCUCCAGAUGAAGAUUCAUCUGGUCCUCGUCCAGAGGAAGAUUCAUCUUCUUCCAAUCCAGAGGACAAUUCUUCUCCCAGACACAUGCUUCGUAGUUGCCCGGGACGCCUUUGUCUGUGGCUACAAGAUGGAGUUUGUGAAGGAUGCCUUGGUCUUCGGGGAGGCGCUGAUACCACCCUUCAUACGUGUUAACGAAUUUCAGGCAGGAGCCCGUCCUCCUGUUGUGCUCCAUCACGGAGAACGUUCCCAAGAAUUGCAGCUGACCUACGUUGUGGUUCGGAGUCCAUCGUUUGCUUUCCAGUGUAGUUAUUUUUCCGCCUAGAUCUAUCUGAGUAUUUGCUCCGUCGAGUUUCAGGGGAGCCAUGUUGCGGUAGGGUUGCACCUGAGCCAUCGUGCGGCCGCCGGAGACUUGUCAAAGCUGUAGGUUUAGGAUAGGUUUUUGUGGAGGUGGUGGUGGCAGAUGUGGUGGCGGUGGCUCCAUUUAUAGACUCGGAAAUGAUGCUUAUGAUGAUGACGGAAAAUGCCCUUCAACCUUCUUGGAGCUUGAGGAAUACGAAUCUAGGGUUUCCGGCAGAGGAAGACAUCUCUGAAAAUUGACGUUGAUAUUAUCCAUUUUGCAUUUGUAGGCAUAGGAGACAAGGAAAAAAUAAAAUAAAUUAAAAUUUCUAAAUAGUUAAAAAAAAAAUUGUUAAAAUGGAAAGUAUAGCAAACCAUUAAAUGUUUCUUUUACCAUUUAUCCUGUGAGCACUAACAUUAAUUUUUAUUUUAAAAAGUAAAUUAAAAUAUUAAAUACAUUUGGUAAUUAAAUAAAUAUUUAUUUCCUACUUUAAAAUGGAAAACAUAAAACAAUAUUUGUACUAAUUAGCAAAAUACAUCUAAUGUCCACGGAGAUAUCCUUUUGGAAGAAAUGAGGGAAUACAUUUAGUGCAUUAUUAGAUGGUGGGCCUCGAGGAUAUACUCUCACAUAAAGGAAUAAAUAGAAAAAUUGACGGUUUAGAAUUUUACAUCUCUACGUUACUUUUUCAAGAUUGACAUGGGUGAUUGAUAGAAUAUUUUUUGUGAUUGAUAUUGAACAGCGGAAUCAAUUGUCCAUUUUUAUUCUUUUUUUUUUUUUUUGGGGACAACACGAUCAAUUACCCAUUUUUUUUUUAUCUUUAUGCUUGUCAUAGGUUAUCUUUGAUUCUAAAAAGUAGUAAAAGAAAAAAAGAAAAAAAAAAAAAAAAUGAGUUUGAAGUAGUAUACGAAAAUAAUUUAUAUAUAUAUAUAUAUAUAUAUAUAUUGUCAAGUUUUUUGGAAACUAAAUAGAGCUUUAAGAAUUGUUAGUUCCUAAUCUCAUUAAAUUUUUAUAUUUUUUAUUAAUUAAUGUAGAAUAAUAGAGUUUUUUUUUCUUUUUAACGUAAAACACCUAAAUCAAUUCUUCUUAUUUUGCUAUAAUAUGGAGAAGGUUAAAUUAUGGUGUAAAUAGCCUCUGAAGAGUUAUUAAUUUUUUUUAAGUCAUCUUAAGUCAUUCCUCAAUUUUUCUGUCAUAUUAUAAUAGAAAAUUCCCAUUACGGUGUAAAUACCACCCUCCUAUAAUAGAAUUCCUUGUCAUCUUAAGUCAUUCCAAUCUCAUGAUCUAGCUCAUAUGUUUUCAAAAACAGGGAGAACUCCUUAAUGCAAUUUUUAAAUUUUCACUUCAUGUGCAUCAUAAAUUAUUUUUAAAUAAUUCUAAACCUCCACAAUUUGGUGUGUAAGAAUCUUUGAUUUAGAGUGUAUUUAGUAGUGUUUCUCUUAUAAAAUAUAAGAUAAAUUUCUUUAUAAUUCUAGUUUUAUUUUAUAUAUUCAAUAUAUUUCUCAUAAAUCCACCAUCUUAUUUCUAUGUUUUAAUCUUAAUUAACAUAAUUUAAUUAUAAAUAAUAAAUAAAUUACAUAAACUUUACUCUAAAAGUAUUUCAUAAAUAAUAAAUAAUAAUUUUAAAAAGGGUGAAUUAAUUAAUUUUCUUCAUCUAAUAUAUAUUUUUUUUUAAUGAAAACUAUUUAGAGUAUGUUAGGUUCUUGGAAAAUACAAGGAAAAGGAAAAAUACUUUUAAGAAAAAUUAUUCUCCUAUUUUUGGAAACAAAGAAAAGAGAUAGAAAAAAAAAAGUAUUAUGAAAAGUUUUUAAACAUUUUCCUAAAUGAAAUGAAAAUUUGGAAGUACGUACAUUUGUCAACAAUUUUAAUUUUUUUUUCUAUUUUUUUUUCUAAUUAUUUUUUUCAAUGUUUAUGACAACUAUAGUAUUUUUUUAUUUAAUAUAUAAUAAAAUAAAUAAAUAAAAAUAAAAAUGUAUUCAAACAGCACCUCAAGCAAAAUUUAACUUCAAUUUAACUUAAAGUGCAUAUAGUAAAACUUAAUACUUUUUACUUAAUGAUUCAAAUGAACUUUUAAGUUAAAUUUUUUUAAGGGUAUUCAAUAAAACUUAAUAUUUAGUUUUUAAUUUAAAUAUUAAAAUUAUUUUAUAAAAUUAAAUUUUUUUCUAAAUCAUCAAAGUGACAUAUUUGUCUUUGUUAAUUUUAACUAUUAUGUAUAUUUUUACUAAUCUUAAAUAAUAAAUUUAUUUAUUAAAUAUUUAUAUUUAAAGUAUUGUAAAAGCAUGCUAUUAUUAUAAAGGGAUUCAAGGUAAAUUACUUAGAAUUCAACCUUAUUCUAAACACUUAAGAUGAAACUUGAGAAGUUAGUGGCCUUAUGUGAUUCUUAAAACCUGUUACCACCCUUAGUUGAAUAACUAACUAAGAGUGGAUUCACAUAGAAAGAGAUUUUUUUAAAGAUGAAAAAUAGAAAAAUGCAUAAGCCUAUUCAUGCUUAUCCAAGAGGAAAAAAAUAAGUAAAUAAAUAAGUGAAUUCCAAUUCUUAAUUAGGUUGAGGGAAUGUAGUCUUUUGAUAGCCAUGACUUAGAGGUAAGAAAUUUUGAGUCCUUGAACGAACGAGUGGUAAAGGUCAAAGUUUGAAAGGAUUGAUGGAAUGAGUAGUAAAGGAGGUUUAAAAGGAUUAAGAUAAAUACUAAAUAUCUUUUCAUGGGUUUAGUUUGAUUUGCAAUCGGUUUCCUCAAUAGGGAGGAAAAUGAAAUAACUUGACUUUUUCAACUAAGGGAUUCAAGCGCUAAAUUAGUUUAGCGAGUAAAUGGAUGAGCCAAUGCAAUCGAGAAGGUGGAAUUGGUUACCCUCAAUGUGGUGUUUGGCUUCAAUUCAGUUGAAGGGGUUUAAGUUUGAUUUCAUAUACCUUGGAGCGAGUUGCAUUACCAUAGGAAUGUAUAGUUGAUUUUCUAUAACUUAGUAAAUUGAUAUAUAUUGAUAAUAAAUAACUUUGAGUGUUAAAAAAUCAUAAAUUUUAAGAAUCUUGUUUUAUUUAUGAUUAAAGUAUUUUAGAUAGAGUAAUAAUUUGAAUUUCUCAAACACAUGGAUUGUAUUUUUAUUAUGCCCAUUAUUCUCUUUUAUUGUUAAGGAGUAGUAAUGUUCAAAUUAAAGCAAGUGAUUAAAACUAUUGAAAAAAAAAAGGUAUUUUCACACUUAAAACCUAGAUUUUAUCAUGAAUUGAGUAUUAAUAAUAUACUUUGAACUUGAAUUCAUGCGGCAUUCCAUUUUAGAGUUAAUUUGUUUAUUUAAGUGAAAAAAUAAAGUAAAAGAAGGAAAAUACAUAUUUUGGAUGAAUUUCAAGAGAAGAAGGAUACAUAAGGUUGAUGAAAGCAACAUGAGAGCCAGAACAUUCCAUUGAUGUCUAAACAGCUAGUAGAAGGAGACAGUGUCUUAGACAUUUGGUUAUGAGGACUAAGAAGGUAAACGAUUAUUUAGAAUGACUACAAAGCAAAAUAAUCAAUCAUUACAAGGGAGAAAAUCAAUUGACCUAUGGAGAAUGAUUAAUUGUCCUAGGUAAAUGUUCCUUAGAAAAUAAUGGAAGUUAUUACUUAAAAAGAGAGGAUGAUUAAUUAUCCUAAGGAAGGCUUGAUCAACUGCCUUCAUUUGAAAAACAUGCGAUUGAACAUCCCAUGCACAAAAACCUUAAUUGUCCCUUGAAUGUCGUAUAUUAUUGAAGAAUAUGAUCACAAUGAUAUCUCAUAGACACAUGGUUAUCAAGAGUUCCUUUUCAGCUAAUGAGUACAUCCAUUUCGUGGAUCAUGGGAUAGAGUGGGGCUAGAGAAUAUUCUACCACAUCAACAAUGGACAAAAGAAUUGCCCUUUCUAUCAUGUUAUAUUUAUAUGCUUCUUGAUAAUUGAUAUAGACACCAAAAUCAAUUAUCCAUCUUUUUAUUGAUGCAAGACAAUAGAAUUUAUUUUCCUUUUUUUUUUUCCAUUUUAUCACCUAAAGAAUAAAAGAAUUGUCGGUUUCUAAUCUUAUAUGCUCCAUUAUUAUGAUUGAUAUCACAAAAGAAUCAACUAUCAAUUUUUAAGCUCUUUUUUUUGUAAUUGACAUACAACAUAAAGUAAUGAGAGAAAAGAAAAAAUAAAUUUCUAAAUAAUUCGGAUAAUAACUAAAACAGUAAGGACACUGUACCAUGAAAUGCUACAUUGAUAUUAUGAGGCUUAUGUGCACGUUGGAGAUAAAUGGUGGUCAUUAAAAACAAUAAAAAUAAAGUGAAAAAUAAUUAAUUUUAUUUCAAAUUAAAAUUUUGAAAUUCAUCCUUUUGCUAUGUAUUUUAAUUUUUUUUAGAGUUUAAAAUAUAUAUAUAUAUAUAUAUAUAUAUAUAUAGAGAGAGAGAGAGAGAGAGAGAGAGAGAGAGAGAGAGAAGACUUAAAAAUAGGACACAAUUUUUAAUUUUUUUACUUUUUAUAGUAUGAUUACAAAAAUGUUUUUGUUCUUUUAAACAAUAAAAUUACAAUGAUCAAACAUACAUAAAAAAGAAUUUAUGCAUUUUAGCCCUUUUAAGUCUAGUAUAUGAUGCCAGGUGGGAGUGGUGGGGCUUCAAAAUAUUCACUGAGAAAUGGAUAGAAGGAUUGUCUAUUUCUAAUUUUUGAUAGAUUUCAAGAUUCUUUUUGUGAUUGAUGUAAUAUAAGAGAAUCAAUAAAAAGAAUUGUUUGUUUGUAAUCUUGUCACGCUUUCUUCCUCUCUUUUCUAGAAGUGCAAAAGGAAUCAAUUGUCUAUUUUUAUGCUCCUUCUCCACAAUUGAUGUGAAAAAUCAUAAUCAACUAUUGAAGAAGUAUUUAUAUAAGAAAUGAAGUCUAUCCUACGAAAAAAUAAAGAAUAUGAGGAAAAAAAUGUAAAUAAGUAAACAAUAUAAAUUAAAUAAAAAAAAUAUAGAAAACUUAACAACCAAAACAAUCAAUAUCAAGCCAUCCAUAUUUUUCAUUUUAAUACAAACAUGAAGAUCCUUCUAUUUUAGUCACGAGUACUCAUACUAUAAAUGUGAAAUUUAAUGACAAAUUUUUUUUAUUCAUGACUAAAAUUUCAUUAAUAAUUAUGAAUGUUACAUUGUAAAAGAAAAUUUUUGUCGUAAAAUAUUUUAUCAUUAAACUUUUGCUUACAAAACUAUUUUUUGUUAUUAAAAUUUGUCACGAAAAAAUUAGCGUCAAAAGUUGCCACUCCCCCAUAUGGCCAAAAAAAAUUAUGAUGAAAUGCAUAUAUUUAUGAUGAAAUUAUUUGUUAUUAAUUUUCAUUUUUCAGUAAUAAACAAUUUUUGUCAUCAAUGACAAAAUAUGCAUAUUUGUGAUGAAGUUAUUUGUCACUAACUUUCAGUUUCCAUUAAUGAAUAUUUUUUGUCACCAAAUCCUCAACCAUUUUUUGGAAAAUAUAUUUAGUGCCUAUAAUUAUUUCAGUUGCCAUAAAGAAACAAUUUCAUUUUCGAUACAAAACAUACAUUAUAACUUUUGGACUUUGGAGUUACAGUAUGAUUCCUUUAUUUGGAUCUAGGUCAAUGUAAAGAUGAGUGGCCCAAUUGUGAAAACCAUCCAAUUGGCCCACUAUGAGAGGAAAAAUGGGCCAAGAAAUCAAUGGGCCAAUAAAGUUUUAAAAUUUUGCAUCUAGAUUCAACUAGAGUAGCCCAACCCAAAUUCAUCUAAUGAAACUCAAAAGUAAUAUAUAUUCAUUGCCUAUAAGAUUUGAAUCCAAGUAAAAACAAGCUUAUUAAGUUUGGAUCGAGUCCAACUUGAAUAAAUAAUCUUUAAAUUCAGGGUGAGUUUGGAUUGAUCAUUAAUUCUAUUUAAUUAAUACUAAUAAAAUCGAAUUAUACAUAAGUAUAUGAUUAUUUUAACACAAAUAGGUAUGUUUAUAAGGGAAAAACCCUAAUGGAUUGAAAGAUAAAUGAAAAAUAUUUUUAAAAUGGGUUGAAUAAUCAUUUAUUAGAAAACUCCAAUUUAUAAAAUUUUAAAACAAAAGAAAAAAAAUAGUUUCACAUAUAACGUUUUUAAGGAACACUCGAGAGCUCCCAAUAUUUUUAAUUUUUUCAAGCAUUAUCAACUUGUUUUUUCAAAAGUAAAUAUUCGCACAUCUACGUACUUUUUAUCUCAUCACUAAACACACUAAAAUGUCUUAUAUACUCCCUCAUUUUCCCACUUUAUGUUCGUACCAUCAAUAUAACUUAACCUUAAAAGUCGAAAAGUAUAUUAGUCAAAAAAAUAUAUACAAAAAUACAUAGUUUUAUAUCAAUGAUAUUUGAAACAAAAUUAUCAACUUAUUUUUCAUCAAAUCUAACCCACAAAACCCUCUUGAAUGUAUAAUUUUCUCCUUAUUCCAGAAGCUUGAAUUGAUCAAAUAUAAAAAUAUUGGGAUGGGUUUGCAACUUGGUCUCCAUAGAAAAAAAAAUGUCCAUAAAUUUGAAAAAAGAAAAAUGUAAAUUCCUCUAUCAUUGACUAUUUUCAUCAUACCAAGAAGGAAGGUGCACGCCAAAGUUCCCUUCAUAUCCAUCAGCUUCUUUGGAGUCAAGCAAGACCCUCCAAAGAUCCAGUAGUUAAAAGUAGUUAAGACACUGAAAGAUGCAUUUACUUUUGAAAAAACAGUCUGAUCUUUCUAUCGUUGAAAACAAUGUUUAAAGUUGAAUCACAACAUUCAAAAAUAUGUAUAUAAAACUCUUACGCGUGAAUCUUACGCCUUGCGUUAUAAUUUAUUGGGCUUUUAAAAAAAAAUGAGAUUUUUUUUUUUUUCUCUACCAAGAAUAGAUAAUAUAAUUUCCAAAGCGAACCACUAAAAAUAAAAGUUGUAUCGUCGUUGAUAAUUGUUUUUUUAAAGGGUUUUUUGUUCUCCAAACCAAAAAAAAAUAGAAAAACACGUUUAACAGCCAAAAAUUAUUUUUUAUUUUUUGUUUUUAAAAACAAAAAAUUUAAUGUUUUCAAACAAUAUCUUUUAAUUAUAUUUUAUUUUUUUCACUUAAUUUUUUAAAAUUAUUUUAAAAAAUAAUUAUAUAAAUAUAUAGAAUGAUUAAAAAUAAAACACUAAACAUAAAAAUUAUUUUUAAAACAUGUUUAAAAAUAUUAAAAACAAGUUAAAAAUGUUUUAUAUUUCCAAGCAGAUCUUUGUUUUAUAAAAUAUCAUAAAAUAGUUUUCAAAAACUAUUCUUAAAAAUUGUUUUCCAAACUGUUUUCAAAAACUAUUAUCAAACAAACCCAUAAUCUCCAACAUGUCCUUUAUUUUAAUAUUUUUAAUGUAUAAAUUUAGUUAUAUAUCCUCAAUUAACCCCUUUUUUCCUCUUAUUUGUUUCUAGACUAAGAAAUAUAAUUUAAUUAUUUACAAAAAUAUGUUAUAUACUUGUAAAUACUUGAUCCGCCAUUACCUACUCUAAUAUAUGAGCUUUUAAGGCUUUGUUUUGUAACUAUUUUCAAAACUAAUUCUCAAAAAUAAUUUUUGAGAAUAAUUUUUAAAAUUGUUUUCUAAUGUUUUAUACAACAGAUGUUUGUAUGAAAAUUGAAAUAUUUUUAACUCAUUUUCUAUGUUUAAAAAUAAAAUUUAUAUGUAAUAUUUUAUUUUCAAUUAUUCUAUAAAUUAUGUUUUAAAACAUUUAUCCGAAAAAAAAUUUUAAAAAAUUAAAAGACGUUGUCUUAAAACAUCGUGUUUUUCUUAGUUUUGAAAACAAAAUACUAUUAUCUGCUUUUUGUUUUGUGAUUAUCAAAUAUAUUUUUUUAUUUUUUUAUUUUUUGUUAAAAAAAUAUAAACGAAAACAGUUAUCUAUGGUCUAAGUUUUACACCACAUGUGAGAAAAUCAUCCAUAGUCAGGAUGAUUCUCAUUGAUUGAAAACAAAAAACAAAAAUAAAUAAAUAAAAAGGAAAGAAAAACAUAAGGAAUUGACCAUAAAGCUUAAUUAUUCCUUCUUUAAACUUUAAUUAAUUAAGCAAUUAAGAUUAAAAUAAAGCUGACUUUGAAUUUUAGUCAUUAAUUAUUUUGUUUCAAGGAUAGGUUGUCUUUUGUGCUAAUGUCAGUGUGAAUUGUUUCGUAUACACUAUACAUAUAUCGGCUGAAGUUGGGAGGAAGCUGCACCUUUGAGGGCUAGACGUAUAAAUUUAGAAGAAGAGAGAAGAAGAUUUUUAGGGCACACAGUCUUGGUAAUAUCAACAGACCUCAAGCCUAGUUUUCUUAAACAAGACCAUGAAGGUAUGUAUGAUGAAGGCUAAAUUGGAAAUUUUCAAGUGAAAAAUCUGAGAUGAUUCAACCUUGGUAUAUAUUUGACUUGAUGCAGCAAAAGGUGGUGAUCAGUGUCUCCUUCAAUGGCAACAAGAAUUGUCAGUCCAAAGCCUUGAAGAUUGCAGCUGGUUUUUCAGGUAUUUAAUUUUCUCCUCAUAAUUUUUUGCAUCAGUAAUCAUUAAUCACCAAUUUGUGUGUUCAUUUUUUAAAUACAGUUCAAAUUUAACCAAAUUUAAAUUGGGUAUCGACAAAGAGUUCAAUAAAAUUUUAAAAAUCUAAAAAAUUACUUAAAAUGAUUUGUGUCGGUAUUUGAUAAGUCUCUUGUGAUAAAAAUUACUUUUUUGUAACUUUUUGGGUAAAUUCUAAAAUUAAAAAUCAUUUUAAAAUUUUAAAGAUUAGUUUAAAAUGAUUUUUUGGGUUGGUAUUUAAUAAAUUCUCCUUAUCAAUAUUAUUAUUAUUAUUAUUAUUAUUAUUAUUAUUAAAAGUACUUUAUAUUUAUAUGGUGAAAAAGAGAAAAAAUAAAAAUAAAGACAAGAUAGAAGGAUGACUAGCAGGAGAAAGAAAGAAAGGAAAAGAAUUUGAUCCUUUCACUAUAAGUUGGGCCAGGCCUGCCUAAGGAUUUUGGGCUAAAGUCCAAUCCCACCCAAGCCAACAUGAUCAAUUCCUUUAGGGUAAAAAUUGGGCUGAUUUUUUAAACACAAACCCAAUCCACCAAACCACUAAAAUGCAUCUCAAAAUAUGAUAUGGAAGGAAAAUCCCUGAAUUAAGACUAGCUACAAUUUUGCCAAAUGCUUAGGCUUAGAAUUAAGGUGGUGUUUGUUUUUUUACUUAAUUCUAAAUAGAACCUUAAUGCUUAAUAGUAUUAAAUAUUAUGUUGUUUGUUUUUGUAGUAUUUUAUUUCUAUUAAGUAUUAAAAAGUAAAAAAAAUCAUUGUGUUAUUUUUUCUAUUUAGAAAAAGUCACAUAUUUUGGUUUUUUCUAUUUAGUAAAAAGUUUAUAAUAAGUCAUGAAAAAGUAAAAAAACAAACAACCUAAAUUCUAAAACUAAAUGGUUUUCAACAAAAAGCCAAAAAAACAAACACCACCUAAGUCUGACUUAGAAAUCAACAUUUUAGCUUACCAAAGCCCAAAGUUUCACCUGUAUCAUGGAUCCAAGCCAAGAGGGCCUACCCUCUUCACAUAUCUAAAUAGUAGGAAAUGGGAAUUAACUUUUUAACCUAGACCAACUCACAUGAGCCAAGAGCAAUCCAAACCCAACUUUAAUCUAGGCUAAGCUUACUUCUUUAUUAAGUUAAGACUUAAGACUCAAGUAAAAUCGCAAGAUUCUAAUGGUUAUUCAUGAUGUGAUAGGUGUUAACUCUACAGCAUUAGAAGGUGAGGACAAGAAUCAAAUUGUUGUUGUAGGUGAGAACAUCGAUGUGAUUGAGCUCGUAAAGAAGUUGAAGAAGAAGGUUGGAUUCUCUACACUCAAUAGUGUGACUCUGGUGGAUGGAGAAGAAAAAGAGGAGGACGAAGAAGAGAAGCCUAUUGAGUGGCCACACCAUCAAGUGGGCAUACCACAUUAUUACCUCUAUGAUGUUCCUUUAAAUCGCUCAAACGACUGUAGUAUCCUCUAAAAGAUAGAGAAGUUACUACAACAUUAUGUAACAAUAAAUUACCUAUAAAGGAAUAUUAUCUUAAGUAAUUAUCAUUUGCCAUUUAGAAAGUCAAAAACCUAAGUUCAUCGAGAUCUAUAUCUUAGAAAAUAAAAAUAAAUAUUGCUAAAGGUCAUAUUUCAAAGUAUAGAAGUAUAAAUUUGUUAGUUCAAUCUUAGGGUGUAACUUGGAAAGAUUGGCCCAAUGUAACUCGAAUCCAAUCCAAUGUUUGGGUGAGGUUAAGUAAACAUUUUUAAUAAUCGGGUUGAUCUCAAGUUGAAUUUCUUCAAUUUGAGCUUAAUUUGGAUGUGAUUGAGUUAGGACUCAAGCCAAAAACUUCCUCGCUCUUUGAAAAUUGCAUCUUUUGGUAAUGCACCACAUACAUCUAAGCCAAUACAAAUCAAGAAGCAAACUGUUGAAUCCACAUUGGUAGCAUCACUAUUUGUUGAAUCCACAUUGGUAGCAUCACUAUUUGUCUAACAACAACUUCAAGACAUGAUAACUUACAUUAUCAUAAUGCAAUAUGUCGCACACUUACAAAGUACACUCAUGUAUUAUAAGCUUUACCCCAAGAUGAUUGAUAACCCACAUACGCAUACGAGUUAUCAACCUCCAAAGUUUCAAUUAUUCGAUGAAAAGGGAAACUCAAAGCAAUACGCUGUCUAUUUCAUCAAAACUUGCAAUAAUGCAGAAAGCUCGGACCAAGGUUCAAACAAUCCAAACUUAACCUAAACAUGAUUUAAUAUUUUUAAAUAAUAUUCUUUUUUUUUUAAUUUUUAAGAAAAGUAUAAAAUUAGAAUUAUAUCAUUUUUUAUUUUUUAGAAAAAUAUAUAAGUUUUUUUUUUCUUGAUGCUAAUUUGAAUUUUUUUCUUAUUUAUUAUUUAACUUUUGGUAUAAAUAGAUAUAAAAAAAUGUAAAAUAAAAAACACAAUACAGGCCAGUUUAACUCAACUAACUGAAACUCAACCCAAAUAUAGGAAAAUGAGAUUAAAUUAGACUUGAAUUGAGUAGCUCAAAUUAGAUAUCAGAUUUUGCUGAAAUCGGAUAUAUUGUUUCUUAAUUCGGGUUAGACUUGAUAUAACAUCCACCCGACGAAGUAGCAAAAUUAGCCCCAAUUCCAUCUUAUCCCACAAAAUUAAUCUUCUUUCUCUACAAUCUUUGAAGUCAAACUCCUCGCUAGGUUAUUGAUCACAUCAACAGCAGAUAAAAGUGAUCUAAUUCCUCCCAUCUAAGAAAUAAUUCCAGCUUUUUAUUGAUUUACAGUCCUUAAAGCUUAUAAUUUUAAGCUGCUUCAAUCCACAAAAGAAGGGGAAAAACCAUUUGCUGUGCCAAAAUAUUAUUUGAUAAUCCAAAACACCAAAAUCCAAAAUUUUCCAUCAGCAUUUCCGCAAAUUACAAACCACAUUCUUUGGAAGCCUUCAGACGGGUUGAAAGGAAGUGAGCUGCUUGGUGCCAUCCAGCUUCUCCCAAACAACCGCCUCGUACUUCUUCGAUGCGGCGCCGUUCUUGGCCAUCACCGUUAGCCGGUAGUUGGUGCCGGCGACGACCUGAGUCUGGCCCUUUAUCACGCUCUGGAACUUCAGCUUCGUCGCGGUCAACUUGUUGUGCGCCUCCACCGCGAACUUCCCGAUCUCUUGCACGUGAGGGUUCUUCACGUCCUCGAUCGGGCUCCAGCCGCCGAGAAGAGCAUCGGAGGCUACUGCGACGAGGAGGAGCGAAGCCAGGAGGAGAGAAAGACGGUAUUGCCCCCGCGCCAUCGCCGUUGGGUUUCUUUCUGAAGCAGUGUGAAGCGGAGGUAUGGUAGUCGGUUGGAUUUAUAGCCGGAGGCCCAUUAAAGAAGUGGGGCCCAUUUUGUUGGGUUCCCAAUGUGGAGAAAGAUAAGUGGUCCAGUUGUGCAGCCCCCGCUGACCACCCAAGUCCUCCCUAAAGGAAGUGGAAAAUAUCGUAGUAAUUUCUUAACAAAGCCGUUUCGUAAGAAACAUCAUCCAGGGCAAGAAAAAGAAAAAUGCUUUCCUCAGGAUACUUCCUUGUUAAGCUCUUUUUAAAGACCAAAGCUUUAUUAAAAGGACCCCAUUUUUAUUUUUUUAUUUUUUUUUAUUAAAAGAAUAAAAAAGCCAUAUCUAAACAAGAAAUUCAAGGACACCAAAUCCGGUGAAUUAUUACAAAUAUAUAGGAGGUUAGAAAUUAAGAUUUGAGUCCGAAAGAUUAGACCAGAACAGGCUCAAAGAAGGUAAGGUUCUUGAAGUUCUCCCAUGGUUUCUCCCACACAUAAGCUUUAUACAUCUUUGGCAGCUCACUUUCAAGUGCUUGAAUCACCAUCCUAACAUUCAGGCCUUCGGCAAUCUGCGCUUGAGCCUGAAACACCGCAUAGAAAAACAGGCUGGAGGCGGUGGAGUUGUUGUAUGCCAGCACUGCAAACAUGCCUAAAUCUUGAACGUGAGUGUUGUUGAUCACGUCCGGAAUCUCAUUCCAUCCACCCGCUGUCACUGGGGCUGCUGCAUUUGCACUUAAAAUGAUGAAGACGAAGACACAGAAGAGCCGGCACAAGAACUGACUUUGAAGUUCCAUUUUUUUUUUUUUCUUUUUGGUGUUUGGAGCUGCCCAAUCUGAGAUUUUAAAUGGGAUUCUUGAUAUAAUAUGAAUAGAUUUAUGCCUAUAGUCAUAAAUUUCAUAUCAAUCAUUUAUCAUCUCUGCAUGAAAUUAUGAAUCAUAAGUAUGACUUUUUUUUGUGCAGAGAAUUAUGACAGUAGUAAAUGUGUGAGAAACUAAAUGGGCAUUUAAAAGGAUGAAAGGCCGUGUACUGUGCUGCAGAAAACUGAAUAGGUAGAUUACAGUUGCACCCACAAAGACUUUCCUUUCUCCAUUUUACUUCUAUGCUGUGUAAAUGACACAGCCAUAAAGCUUCUGUACUAUAUUUAAAGAGGAACAGAGGAGUUUCUGGUCAAGGAGUAAUAUGCCUAAAGGAGAUGAUAUGUAAUUAACAUGUAUAUGCAACUUAAACCUGAAUUUUUCGAGGUCUGAUUGGUUACUUGAAAGUGUCCUAGAAUCUGUUCGCUUGCUAUUGAGGAAGGAGGCCAUUGCAUAUGUUUCUCUGCAUCUUGGAUACAGCAAGAGAUGACCAGCAAACUGAGCUAAAUACCGACAAAUGGAGGUCUAGUUUGAUAAUUUUAUCAUCCCAUUGUUGAAUGACAGUUGACCAUACGAAGAACCAGUACGUAGGGCUCACCUUGGUGCUGAUUUUCAACAAUUUGCUUAAGUGGAUGUAGACUCAAAAUGAAAAUUGCUUUCAAAGUUGUUAUUUUAUCAAUAAUGGCAUGAACUUUUAAUAUUGAUGAUCAGAAACAAAGUAUGAAGGCUAACAAAUCCACCAUGGGAAGAAUCAUUAGAUAAAUAAACAAUUGCCAUAGGAGAAAAGCAUAUGCCUUUUUCCCUUUCAUGAUUCUUGUCACAGACGAUUUCUUUUCCUUUCCUUAUUACUAUACAAUAAGGCUACUAAUAUGCCAAGAGCCAAUGCCUUGUCAUGGUAGCGGCCGAUCCUAUGCAUUUCACCUUGUUUGUAGAGAAUUUGCAAACUGGUUGCAGGGAUUUGAAUGGUGUCACAUUUCUUCGUUUGUCCCAAAAACAUAUGCUCCUGCAAGGGACAACAUUAGUCAUUAAACAUAUAUGAUGAAUCAAAAUUCCUCCUAAUUAAGGAAAAAAUUUGUUUACCGAGUGAAGGCAUUAGAAGGGAUAAUGCAGCAAUUCCAGCAAUCUUAAGAGGCACUCCUGUCUUGAUCAUAUCUUUGAUUUCAAUGUGUCCUGUUGUGAACCCGACGACAUUCGAAGGAGUUCCAGUGGGCAGCAAGUAAGAAAACUGUGCUCCAAUGGCUCCAGGAACCAUGAGAAGGAGCGGGUGGACGUGCAUGGUUUGGGCUACUUGGAUGAGAAGGGGAACAAGGAGUGUUGUUGUGGAAUUGUUUGAGGUGAACUCAGUAACCGUACUACUUAUGAGACAGACGGCAGGCGCAAUGACCAAGUAGGGAGCGUGUUCCAGGAAAGUCAAGGCCUUUGACAACACAUCAGCCAGGCCACUUGACCGGACUCCGGCAGCUAUGGCAAAGCCAGCGCCUAGUAGCAAUACGAUGUUCCAUGGCAGCUUCUUGCAUUUGUUCCAGUCCAUCAGCUUCUCCCCCUUUUGUUUCUUGUUUGGAAUUAUGAACAAUAAGGUUGCCAUCAUCACCUACACAUUGGAUCAAACUCAGUCAUGUAGAAGUCCUUAUUUGUUGAGAGAUUUCAAUGGAAAUAGCAUUUUCUUAAAGACGAUUCUCACACUGGCAGUCCCAUCGCCUACACGACCAUUGAAGAGAGCUCCCCAUCCAGGAACAUCAUCUGUUAUGCUCCUUGUCAUCCAUAAGACUAUUAGCAUCUGCACCAACCCUCAAGGAUUAAUCUACAGACAUUUAUGUCCCUUUGGCUAAAAAGAAAAUUUUUUUAAGUCCUACUCUUUUAAAAUAAAAAAAUAUAUAUAUUAAACUAUGUGCAAAGUAUUAUUGUUAAUUUAUUUGUUUUCAAUUGUUACCAAACAUUGAAACGGAGAUAAAUACUGAUUUCAACCUUACAUUUUUAAAUGCAUCCAAAUACAAAGAUUGAAAUCACCGCCUAAUUUAUUCCUAUUUAAGGAGAUAAGGGAAUGAAAACAAAAUAUUCAUUUUCAUUCCUCAUUUUCUAGAUCAGGCUUUAUUAGAAUCUAUUCCCAUUACUUAGAAGGUUAUGGCACUUGUCUGCUUACCGAAAACACAGCCAACACCAUCUUUUCAGCAAAAGCCAUUGGACCUGUCCACACAUGUAUAUGUAUAGGUAAAGAGGCUGAAGAUUUUCUACAAUUGGGUGUAGGAAGUGGUAAAUUGAAGUAUUGAGUAUCAAAAUUUUGGGAGUUUACCCAACAUUUGAAGCUCUCUUCUGAGACUGGAUUUGUCCAAAUAAGCAGACAGAGCAGGACCUGCACCCCUGGAGCAGUACAAGCAGCAGAGAAUAGCCCACAAGGCAAAGAAAACCAGCAAAGCCAAAGGGAAGCCAAAGAAGAACCAUGUAUUAAAGCUGAUGGGGUCUGCCUCUGGGAAGUAGCUCUUCCACAUUCCUACCAAUAUGAGAUUGACGCCAGUACCGGUGAGAGUGCUCAUUCCCCCAACUGCAGCAGAGUAUAACACCCCAAGCACCACUGCUCUGCAGAAUUUAUCCACAUGGGGAGAUCGAGUUGGACCUGAUGGUAGCCUCUGUAAGAUACCAGUGGCUACGGGCAUCAUCAUCAGUGCUGCUGCAACAUUGUGCAUCCACAUACUCACAAAGGCUGUGGUGGCACAGAUGCCAAGGAGAAGCAAUGGGGGAUUCAGUGGAUCUCCACAAAAGAUCAAGGUAAUCUGCAUGGCCCACAUGUCCAUUUUUUUUUAAAUAAUUCACCCACAACUUUAGACUACUUUCAUAAUAGUCAAUUAUGAAGGUGGAGGUAUGUACUAUAUUCCCAUCAAAAGGUAAGCAACAAGCAUGCUUCAUAAUAACCAAAAAAACUCAAAUUUGUUAAGAAAUUAUAUAAUCAACUCCAACCCAUAAAACCCAUCUGAAAGAAGAGAUAAGAAAUCUAAAAUUUAUAUGGGAUUUUUAUGGAUCUAACAUUUAUGACAGAGACUAUGAGAAGAUGAUGCGGAAAAGAGAAGAAAUGUAAUGGGCUUAUCUCAAAAAUUGUGUGGAAACUCACAUUGAGGGCCAAUCUUCUAUGGAUGUUGUAAUGCUCAACAGCAAGAGCAAGUAUGAAGCUUCCAAGAACAAGGGAAAUCACAUCAUCCAUGUAGGAGUGAGCAACAUCAUCUGCGGAAGCGAUUCCAAAGAGGGGAAAGAGGAAGAGAGGAGACAUGGAGGUGAUGGGCAUAGGCACAGCUUCAGUGAUCCACCAAGCAAACAUCCAAGCAAGAACAGCCAACAUGUUCCUGCUGGUCACAGGGCCAUCAAGCUUCACAAAAAGGCAGAUGAGGGUGCAGAGCAGAGGCCCCAAGAGGAUGAAGAAGCUCUUGGGUGUGAAAAUGGACAUGAGAGACGCCCCAUUUGAGGUCUCCAUUGUGGUCGCCUGGACUGGAAGCAGUGGAGCUUUGAGGUCAUCAGAAACCCCAUUCGUGUUAUGCUCACUAUUCAUUUUGCAUAGAAGGAUGGUGAACAAGAAGAAGAAGAUGGUAUUUGUAUGUAAUGUUUACCGGGGGAUAACGUUGAUAUAUAUGGGCUCUGGUUUUUGAAGAUGGAGAUGAAUUAAAUGGACGAAAUAAUCUUUUCUUUUCCUUUCCUUUUUUUUGCCCUUUUCUUUUUCUUUUCUAUGUCUUGUUUGGAGCCAAACUAAUCAAUGCUCUUUAUUUUCGUCAUCCCUUCUCCAUUAUUCAACUCCUCCAAUUAUCCAUCUAACUUGUGGUCCUUGUUUGGCUGUCAUUUUUGUUGCUUGGGAUUGAAUUUUUCUUAUUCUUGUUUUUUCUGCUCCCAAAAAUGAAAAACCUAAAAUAGAAUUUGAUAUAAUUAAUUUUAGUAAAACUCUAUCCUUUUAGUAUAUAAUUAAAUUUAAAUUUAUGAAUAAAAUUAAAUAAAUAAAUAAUAUUUACAUUUCAAUAAAGGAGAUGAUGGAAAAAUUUUAAAUAUAUAUAUAUAUAUAUAAAAAAUAAUACGGUUGUUAAGUAUACAAAUAUUCAAAAUUAGUUAUGGGGCAAAAUUGGAUAUAGACAGCAACCCAAAAAUUAGUCGUGUUCUAGCAAUGAGUGGUUGAUGGGGGUCCAGCUGGACAAGUUCCAUCAAUCAAUUAAAGUUAAUUUACUGCUGGAUGGCUCCGAUUGCUCCAAGCCCUAUGACGUGGAAGGGCUGGCGGCUAAUAGUGACGUGUCAUACAUUAGUCUGACUCAAACGGCCCAGAGAUAUCGAUCCAACAAAUCAGCGCCAGACCCUUAGUUUUUUUUUUUUAAUCUUUUUUAAACUUAAAUAUGAUUUGAGAGUGACCAAAUUUAGUAUUAAUGAUGAGUCAUUCGUCAAGAUUAGGCUAAUCCAUUAGCAAAAUCGUUUACCAAAGAGUCAACGUCUCUAUAAUUAAGAAAGUUUAUUAAAAUUUUCUAAAUGAGAAAUUAAGAAUUACUAUAUUUAAGAGCCUCACAUGAGGUUGGGCUUUUAAAUGAAAAUUAAGAUCAUCAUAUUUAUUGACAUUAAUUUUAUAAAGUGUUUUUAAUAUUUUGAAUAUUUUAAAAAUAAAAAUUUUUAAUUGUUAAAAAUAUUAUAAAUAUUUUUUAAAAUUACUGUCAAACAUUCUAAAAGUGUUUUUUAUAAUAACUUUUUAUAAUAUUUUUAAUAUUUAUAAUAUGAUAAAAAAAAACUUAGAUGUUAAAAAUAUUAAAAAUGCUUCCUAAAAUCAUUAUCAUACAGGACUCUUAAUGUUAUCGCAGCACCUUAGCAGGCAUGGUGCAGGCUUAGCCUUCAUGGCAUGACCUUGAUUACUCAUUAUAUAACAAACUAAAAGAAAAAUUAUUUGAAAAUGGUGUCAUAAAAGAAUUGAAAAUUUUACGAUUGUUUUGAAAUUAUUGAAAGUUGUUUUUUUAAUAUGAAACUUUCAUAAUUUUUCAUAUCAAGCAUUCAUUAAAAUAAAAUAAAAAUGAAUAAAUUCAUAUUAAAAAUGUCUUUUGAAAAAAUAUUUUUAUAUAAAGCAUGGUUAAUUUUCAUUUAAAACGCUCCACUAUUUCUAUGUCAAAAACUAUAUUUUUAAAAGACAUACGAAGUAUGUAGAAGAUGUUUUUUUAAAAGAUAACUUUAAUGUUACCCUUUUUUGUUUUAAGAAAAUAAUUUUUUUUUUAUGAAAGUUGUUAUUUUAAAAAGCAAUCUCAGUGUAAAUUAAUUUUUUAUGAAAAUUGUUAUUCAUGAAAAGAGAAUGUAGAAAGUUGUCUUUUUACAUUAAGAUUAGGCAACGUGUCAAUUUUUAAGCAAGGAGGAGGGCUUUACUCCCCACUCCCCACAUAUUUCUCAUUUCAUAAUCGCAAUUGUGACACUGCCCAAAUGGGCUUGCUAAAAUAAUGAAGAUGUAUCCAAAUUGGCUUGCUAAAAUGAUGAAGAUGUAUCCAAAUUGGCUAUCUACUCUUUCAAGGACAAGACUAAGAAUGAAUAAAUAAAUAACCUUGGAGCCUACUCGACCUAGGUUUCCAUUAUCUUAUAAUUAAUUUUUUUUAAUAAAACUAACAUAUAAAAUUGUAAAAAUAUCUUUUAACUUAAGGAUAAUAGUUUUCAAAAACAGUUGUGAAGAACAAUCUUUGAGAGCAGUUUUUUAAAAUUAUUCUAUAAUAUUUUGUAAAAUAAAAGUCUAGUUAUAAACUUAAAAUAUUUUUAAAAUUAAAUAUAUUUAAAAAAUAAUUUUUAUUUUUAAUUAUUUUAUAUAUUUGUAUAAUUAUUUUUAAAAAAAAUUCUUAAAACACAAAUGAAAAUAGCAAAAAACAAAUAAAAUAUGUUUUUUAAAAUACCAUAUUUUUAUUUUUAAAAAUUAAAGAAAAAAUAGUUAUAAACAUGUUUUUCUUUUUUUCUAAAAACCAUAAAACUGCAGUCAAAAAAGUUUCCAAACAAGCCCAUAUCCUCCUUCCCCCACCAGAAUCCUUUCAGCAAGGUGAAGAAUAAAUUGAGGUGGGUGCAGAGGGAGAAAUAGUGGGUGUAUUAAGAACACCCAAACUAAAAUUUUCACCCCAUUUUGCCCUGUACAAGGUUCAAAAUUACAAGAUCCAUGUACCUAGGCUCACAACACGAGGAGGACAAAGUGGUCUUUAUGCAGCAGCAGUCUUGAUUCAUGAAUGACAAUCCUCCAAAUGUAAUCAAGUUUGCAACCAUCGUUGUCCUUCACAAUGCAGCCUUACCAUUAAGAUGGAAAAAGAGACGUGCAUCCAACUAUCCAAGGAAUAGAUGGCAUGCCAAUAAUACACUUGUGGUCUACACCCUUCACAUUCCUCUAGAGGACAUGUGCAUAAUUGUAAAUUACUUCCUAAAAUUCUUUUAAUAUUUGUCUGUACCAUGUUUGAUCACAUCACAUGUGAUGUUUUAUGGUUACUAGUAACCCAUCAAAACCAAAAUAAUGGUUUUAAUGCUUUGUAAACUACAAUAAUCGUCUUUAUUCUUCCACCCAUAUUUCAAUUUAAUUUUUAAUUUUUUAAAUAAUAUUAAUCCUAAAUUAUAUACAAAUACCAAAUAAAUCUUUUUGUUAAGAUUUUUUGUUCAAAUGAAUUAGACUAUUUAAGGUUAUAAGUUAGGCAGGUUGAUCGGAUUGAUAACUAAUCCAAACCAAAAUCAAAUUAAAUAACAAUCGAUUUUAGUUCAACUCAACCUAAAUUCUAAUUCAAAUUACUCAAUUCAGCCUUAUUUUUUAAAACUCAAAAUGAACUCGAGUUGUUCAAAUUAAAUUCAAGUUGGUUAGGUUAUAUAAAAUUAAUUCAAAAUUUUAAAACUACAUUUCUUUUGUCUUUGACUUUGCUUUUUAAUGGAAUUCACUUUAUUAAGUUAUACUCGAGCAUCAGCUAUGACGUUUCGUGUUUUUCCAUGUAGUCCGAGAUUAUUGUUAUUGACUUUUUGUGGAGAAACGUAUCGGACACCAUUUAGAAAUUUUUUACGGAAAAAUUUAAAAAAUUAGGGUAUGUUUAGGGGCGGUUUUCGAAAAUAGUUUUUUAUUUAAAAAAUAAAAAACACGUUUUAGUUGUUUUUAUUUUUUAUUUUAUAAUUAUUUUUAAAAAUAAUUAUAUAAAUAUGUAUAAUGAUUAAAAAUAAAAUUUUAAAGGUAAAAAUUAUUUUUAAAUAUAUUUAAAAAUAUUAAACACAAAUUAAAAAUAUUUGAGGUUUUUAAAUAUAUUUUUGUUUAAUAAAAUAUUAAAAAUUAAUUUUUUAAAAUUAUUCUUAAAAACUAUUUUUUAGAACAGUUUUAAAAACUAAUUUUAAAAAUGAGCCUUAAUAUACUUGAAAAAUUAAUGGGUUUUUUGUUGUUGACUGUUGACACCAGGAAUUCACCAAAUAGGCUAGUAGGGUUUCCAAUGGGCUGGAGUUGGGUCUAAAGAUUUUGGGCCGGGCUUAAACUUAUGGCUGGGCCGAAAAAGUCCACGAGUGAGAAGCUGAAUAUCAUUAAGUGAUUUUUAUUUUUUUUUACUCAUGUCCCAUUACUCUUAUGUUGUUCAUUUUUAUUCAUAUUAAAAAUAUUUACAAAUUAAUUGUCAUAUUUAUUUUCAUUUUAAUUUGAAAACUAAUAAUCAUUUAAUAUUUUUCCAAAUGUCUCAAAAUAUCAUAAUCUAUUACCAUAAUAAAAAAUUUUGUAAUGACUAAUUAUGUAAAUAUUAUGAAAUUAAUUAGGAUUUUUAUUUUUGCUUUGAUGCUUUGAAAGUAUUAUAAUUUUUCUAAAUAGGUCAAAUUUAUUAGUAGUUUGGGCCGGGCCACUCUUGUGAUUGGGUUGUCCUAACCUGUUACCCAACCCAAACCCAAAUGGGCCAAGCCCAUAUGGCAGGCCUACGCCUACCAUCUCUCAUAUUAGAUUUAUCAUGGUAUCGUUUUCGUCUCCUUCACAUUUCCACCAACUUUUGUCAUCGGAGAGAGUGUGCUAGAAGGUAUUGUUCUAGUCUUCCCUAAGUGCAGACAAUUGAAGUCGUAUUAAAGACACAAAAACCCUUGAUGGUGAUGGUAUUUUUUACUAUCAAAUGAUUCGAAUUAAGGGGGCUUUCGGUAAAAUCUAUUAUUUAUUAUUUAAUAAAUUAAAACAUAUAUUUGAUGUAUACUUUAAUUUAAACUUAUAAUUAAUUUUAAAUGAUAAAAUUGACAUAUUCAUCCUUGUUAAUUUUAAUUAAUAUUAAAUAAUAAUUUUAUUUGUUAAAUAUUCAUGUUUAAAGCAUUAUAGAUGUAUAGAAUAAGAAUAAAAUGUUAACUAGAAAAAAAUGUAUUAUUGAUAUGAAAUUUGGAUAGUGAAAUAUCUCUCAAUAGAUGUGGAUAAAUAAAAUAAAAAAUAGUUAAAAUAAAAAAAUAAUUUUUUUUUUACUUUAAUACUUUUUAAGUUAUUUUUAAAUUUUAAGUUUUUAAUAUUAAAUUAUUUUAUCAAAUAUGUUUAAUUUACUUAUUAACAUAAAUUAAACUACUAAGUCAUUAAGUUGAUCUACUAAAUAUACUCGAAACUCAUAUAUUUUUACAAUUAAGGUAGAUUUUGGGUCAUGUGUAAAUAGAGGUGUCUAAACGGCCCAUUAUUAACCAGGACAUUACGGGCCAACGUGUCAAGCUAGCACUGACCACUUAAAAAUUGUGUCGGGCUAGGUUGGCCCAUGCAAGGAAAGAGGUGGCCCGACACGACCCAUAGGUUUGCGGGCUAAUUGCAUCGGGCUGGGCUGGGUCGGUGACGUGUUCUAAUCAAGAUUUCGUAUAUUCGUCUCAACAUUCAACAGCUGCUUCAAUGUACAAACGACAUUUUCUUUGUUCACUUUCGAUCGAAAAACCAGAGGCUUCUCAGGCUCAUCUGUCUUCUUUACUUCUUUGUCCUCACGAGUCUGAUCAUAUCUCUCUAGACUCGCGACAACACUAUGCAAUUCCUUCAAAAUCAGCAUGCUUCUCCCGCUCCCACCAGACACAUUCUUAGUGCUCUACUUAGUCUUUUCGUCGGAGGCUUUUGUUGGAGAAUCAAGAGGUUUCUCCGACGUUUUGGUAACAUUAGGAUAUGAAUAAUUCUCUAUUUCCUCCAUUUGAGGAAGAUUAUCGAGGUCUACAUGUUCGAGGUCUAGCUCUUUGAGUAAGCACUUCACCAUCGGAAGAAGAUUCAACUUCUUGGCAUCCAAAGUCAAAGUUGAAUCAGAUGAGGUCAGUUUUUUCUCAGGUAUGACAUGCUCUUUUUCCAGUUUUUCCUCCGACGAGACAUGUCUUUCUUUGACAGGCCGACACGACGGGCCGCGUGGGCUGUUUCUUUAGGCCCUGCACGACCCGCUCCUUUUGGGCCGUCUUGGCCCAGCCUGCUACAGUGUCGUGCCAUGCCAUGGGCCAAAAUGGAUGGUUCGGCCCAAUGAACACCUCUAGGUGUAAAGCCUUUAUAAGAAGUAAUAUUUUUUUAAUUUUCAUAUUAUUUUUUUUAAGUUAUAAUAAGAAAUUAUUUUUUUUAUAACAAUAAUGAAGUCUUUAGAAAGAAUAUAUAAUAAAGGAAAAUUAUAAAUAUAAAAUUCCAUGUAAGAAAUUAAUUAUUUUAUUAUUAAAAAUACAAAACAACACAAAAACACCUUUUUACAAAAACACUUUUACCAAACAACAUGUUCAACCCCCACCAAGAAAGGAAAAAUAAAAGAGAGCUCAAAAGAAAAACUUGGGUCGCAGAGAAUAAACGCUAGGAAGUGCGUUUCAUAAAAGCAUAUUUCUGUCUCUUUUUCCCUUUUGUGAAAUCGAAAACAGCGGAAAAGAAAGAAAAAAAUUGGUAAUGGGGUGUGAGGGGGUACAGACAAACGUGCCGCCUUUUUUUGACUUAUGGAGAGCAGGUAACAGGCUUUUCUUUUUUCUUUUUUUCUUUUUUAUUUUUAAUUGAUUUUUCUUUUAUGUACUUUCCAGGAAAAUCAUUCGGGACACCAAAGCUUUCUUUGUGGAAUUUAAAAGAAAUGGAUAUGGGAUUCUUUUGCCUUUUCACCUACACUAGGAAGAAGCCUCCAAAAUUCAUUUAUUUUUCUUGCUCCAACAUACCAUAAUUGCCUUUUGCUUCAUGGACAAGUUUGUAGGUUGACCAUUGUACACUAUGUAUAUAUUAUGCCUCCAAUAAUUAGAACUGGCCAAGAAGAAAAUUAAAAAAUGAUGUAGGAUUUAUUAUCUUGAUCAAGGUUUCACAUGGUGGAUUUGUUUUAAUUAUUUGAUUCGUUGCUCUUAAAUUUUAAAAUUUUUGCGACUUUGACCUUGGUGAUGGAAAUUCACAUUUGUUUAAAUAUCUAUUGGCAACUUGCUUUGAAAAUUCCAAGUAUUGAAAGUGAUUUUAAAGUUAAUAUUGAUAUUGUAAUAAAAUUAAAAGUGCUUUUAAGAAUUAUUAUAAGAAAUGUUUUUAAUAUUUUUAAUACUUGAAUGAGGAAAAUUUUUAAGUGUUAUAAAUAUUAAAAACACUUCUUAAAAUCAUUAUCAAACACACUUUAAUUAAGAUUUUAAUGAGAAAUAAUGGUCUAAUUUAAAAUAAUAUCACGAAUGUUUAAUAUUUUUUAGAAGUGGAUCGAUUGACCAAUCAUAUUACUUAUGUUGUUCGCGCUAUCAAUGAUGAAUGAAUAUAUUUAAAUUUAUUCGUAAAGAUGUAAAAGGGUUUUAAUAAAUAAAGUUUGUAGCUUUUAAAAUCUGUUUGAUAGUAUUUUGAAAAAAUGUUUUUAACUUAAAAAAAAUGUUUUUAAAAAAACUGGUAUUUAUUAAUAAUAUUUAGGAAAUACUUAAAAAAAUGAAAAAAUCACCUAUAAUGACAAACACUCAUGAUUAUCUUAAAAACAUUUUUUUUAAAAACCACUUACUAAAAACAUUUCAAAUAGAAAUAUCGCCAAACCUGUUUUCAUUCUAUUUAUUUCAUGGACUAUAAUUUUUAUUCAAAACCGAAAAUAUUAAGUAAGUCUAAAAAGGAAAAUCAAAUAUUAAGAAAAAUCAACUAAUCUCUUUGUUAUUAAAUUUGUUAACUGUUUUUGAAAUUUUAAGAUUAUGGUGUUUGAGUUAUUACAUGUUGUAGCAAAUUAUAUUAUCAAACUUUCAAUUAAAGGUAUUUUCACUCAAUCAAUUGAGCAAUUUUGGUAUCAAUCUUGGAUUAAGAUCAAAUUUAACCACAAUCGUGGAUCGAUAUAACUUCAACAAGCAAGUAUAUACACAUGUGAGCAUCACUACGCCUACACUAUGUCAUUGUUGUGGGUGGCCUAAGAAGGUGUGCUUCACCACGCCGACACUAGGUCAUUGUUGCGGGUGGCCUAAAAGGGUGUUCUCACUAUUAGUUGAAUUUGGAAUUGAUUUUUGUCUCGAAGUUUAGUUCAAAUAUCACUAGCAAAUAACUUUACGUGCAAGUCGAAAAUCAUUAUUAAUGUAUUGUUUUUAUAUUAUCCUAGACUUUAUAAUUAUUCCUAAAUAAUUAAAAGUAAUAGAGGAAUAUUCUUAUGAAAACUUACAAAUUCAUAUUUGCAGACUUUGAUGAAAGUUGAUUUUAAAUCAUCAUCUAAAAAUGAUAAUAUAAAAAUUUAUGAAAAAAUUUAUAGGCUUUGCCUAAACUUAAUUCCAAAUUACUACGAUUACAAUGAAUCAUAAAAAAUGAUAUUAUGGACAUCGUCAAAACUCUAAUUUAUGAAAGAAUCUCUAUUAUAAAAAAAUCACAUAUUAAUAUCUAUUCAUAUAUAAAAUAAUAUCAAAUUUUGUGAAUCUAGCUUCUCUGCAUGAUAAAUACCGCCAAAGUCUAAUGCUGCGGAGAAAAUUAAGUGAAAUACUCCAAAUACAAAGUAUGAAAAGGUGUCUAUAACUUCCCCAUCAGGACCUAUAACUUCCCUACCAAGACCUACCCCCAAUCUAGAGUAACUAGGUAGGGAAGUAAAAUUAAUCAUUUUUCAUACAUGGGCUUCUUUGGUACGAAAUGAGUCACUUCAAAUAAGUUUAUUGUUCUGACCCAAAAUACGAUUAACCCGACAUGGGCUACAUGAGCCCCAAAUAGUUUACCGAAUAAAUUGAUAAGUUGGGCAUUUUUGACCCAUCAAGUGUUUUUCCUUAAGAGCAACCAGUUUAUAACAUAGAUAUCUUUUAUAAUUUCAAGUAUUCACACGUAAGUUUUAAAAUAACUUAUUAUUUUUAUGAGAAAAAAAAUGAAAGCAUUUUUGUUAAAAUAGGGUUAAAAAAAUUGAUGAAGGGUUAUAUAUAUCUAAAAUUAGAUUUUCAAUAAUUAUUUUAAUCAAAUAAUCCUAAAUUAAUUCCUGACCACACAUGCAUAAAUUUAUUUUUAUCAAAAAUUCUUAUAUCAAUAUGUAUACUUUCUCUCUUUCCUUACUUGGUGUUUUCAUUUUAACCAAAUCUCCCCAGAUUUUAUUCCUUUUAUGCUUCCAUGGACCAUCAACAACCACUUGGACCCUCAAAAUAAUGUUCCAAUCAAAAUAAAAAUAUCGUACCAUGAUUAAAAGUCACAUAUUUAGAUUUCUAACACCGUGCUUAAUUUAGACGUAUGAAACUUAAGAAAAAUAAAAUUUAAAAAUUGUACCAUUGAGAAUAAAUGAAAAAAAUAAAUAAAUCAAGUAAGAUAAAAAAAUAAUUUAAUAAUUAAGGGUCUAAUCGGCAAUUGUUUUCAAAACAAUAUUCUUAAAAAUAGUUUUUGAUAAUAAUUUUUAAAAAUCAUUAUUUAAUUUUUAUAGAAUAAAAGUUGUUUGGAAAUCUAAAAUAUUUUUAAUAUUUUAAAAAAUAUUUUUUAUAUGUUUUAUUUUUUAAUCAUUUUAUAUGUUUGUAUAAUUAUUUAUUAAAAAUCAGAAAAUAAGUGAAAAUAAUAAAAAAUAAUUAAAAGAUAUUAUAUGAAAACAUUAUAUUUUAUAUUCUUAAUAAUAAAAAAUAAAAAAUAAUUUUUGAUUGCCAAAUAUAAUUUUUAUUUUUAAAAAUAAAAAAUUAUUUUAAAAAAUAAUCCCAAAUGGGUCAUAAGAUGCUACGUACAUACUUUUUUUAGUUUUUAGUUUUUAAAACAAAAAAAAAGUAAUAAUUAAGGUAUUUGAUAAAAAAAAUUCAAGGUAUUUCAAAAAUUUUGAUAACAAAAUUUAAGAAUAUAAGGGAAGUUCAUUUAUAGAGAAUUAUUAUAAUUUUAUAUAGAAAUUAUUAAUUUUCUAUUUUUUAAAAAUGUUAUUUAACUAAAUUUAAAUUCAUGAAUAUGGAUGAUAGUUAAAAGAAAAAUAAAAAGGGAAAGAUGAAAAAAAGGAAAGUAAAUCAAUACCUUUCAUAUUUGUACCAUUGCCAUCCAAUUUGAAUGUCCAUAAAUUUCCACCAAGAUUCUUAAAAAAAUUGUACCAUCUCAUAUAAGGAACAAAUGAAAUAAAUAAUAUUAAAUGAUAUUAAAUCAAGUAAAAAAAAAAAGAAGUAAAAUAAUAAUUUUCAUAGUGAAAUUUGAACAUUACCAUGUUUCUUUUUUCAUAAUUUUAAAUUAUAUAAAUAAAAAUUUAAUGAAAUUAGCCAAAACCAAACAAGUUCACUUUUUUAAUUUCAAUUACAUUUUGUAUUUUUAUUUAUUUUUUGGUGGGGGCAGAAUCGAUUUAGAAUAAAGAAAAGCCGCAUUUGGGGAAUUGGGAGUUAUAUCGGCAGCUUUAUGAAGGGCAAAAGAGUAAUUUUGGGAGCGAAGCGUAACAAUGCAGGUGGAAUAGCGCGGUGUGUGAAUGCAGCCCACAUCGUCUCAACUCCACCUCUCUUUCUCUCUCUUCUUUUCUUUGUUUCUCUCUGAUGAAAUCUAAAAAUCUUCGAUUUUGUGCUCUCUCGUCCUCGACUCUGCCAAAGCUAGGGUUUUGGGGUUUCGAUUCUAUGAUAUCGGCAGCGAAAUUGCCAUCGCUGCAGCCGCUAUCGCCGCCGCCGUUUCGUUAAUCUGCCGGCGGGGGCUUUGAUUCCCGCCCGCCCCUCAUGUCUCUCGUAGAAACCUCCUCCAUCGACUGCGUCCACCAACGCCUCGAUCGUCUUUCCUCGAAGCGAAAAUUGGACGAUUAUUCCUCCCCCGCCGAUGACGAUUUCUCUGAUUUAGUCUCCUUCAGAAUGAGAAAAUUCGAUCAAAACGCCUUCGUUUCUUGCAACUCUCCGCCGGACUCUCAUCUCGAGAGGCAUAGGGUUGUCGAUGCCCGAUCGUGUCCCAGUUCGUGCAGCGCCGAGUCGGCUCGGCCUGAUUCGCGGUUGCAGUUCUUCGUGAGGAUGAUCUCCGAGGGGAAUACUCUGGUGAUUCACGCGAAUUCGGAUGAUACCGUGGAGUCGCUGCACCACCGGAUUCAGUCGAUUACGGGGAUUCCGGUGAUGGAGCAGCGGCUGAUAUACAGAGGGAAGCAGCUGCAGUGGGAGCAGUCUUUGGCUGAAUGUUCGAUUCAAAACGACGCCGGGCUUCAACUUGUCGGUCGGAUGCGGAGUACGGAACAUCCGGCGGCAUGGCGAGUCGCUAGCGAGAUGGUGUCAACGAUUUGUCGGCUUUGUAGGGGGGAAACAUUCCGGCCGUUGAAGAACAUCAAAUCGCAGUUGUUGGAGUUCUUGAUGCUCACUCCAAAAGACGACACCGAGUCAGCGGCCGGUUAUCUUCAGGUUUUCAUGUCUUCGUCGGCCCCUUCAGCUUUGGUCAUGCUCUACAUGUCCCCGACUAAGAGUAACAAGGAGACUGCAGAUGAUACUAUUAGGCAAUUUCUUAACUCGAGUCGGAAUUUAUUACCAAAGUCUGUACAAAUACAAUGUGUUCCUAUAGUGUUAGAAUUUUGUAAGUUGCUUAGUAGAACUGAUCAUGAGGAUCCGUUGUAUUUGACAUGCCGAAGCACUCUUGGGUCGCUGGUGGAAAAUGUUGGGGUAGUGAGAGCUUCGAGGUAUUGUCAUAAUAGUAAGACAUUGAUUGUAGUUAAAGAGAUUUUACCAUUUGUUAGUGAGCUGGCUAGUAGCUUGUCAAAGUCAUUGAUAUCAAGCAUGGAAUCAGCAGGGAGCACAGGGAACUCACUAAAUGAUGGGCGCAAUUUGAUUGCAGGGCAUACAUUAGCAAAUGAUGUGCGUGAUUUUACUGCAUUCUUGCACCCGGUGCGAUCUGUGAUUAUGGAGCAAGUGAGUUUUCAUGGUCCUAUUUCAAUUCCACUUGGAGAACGUGGUAGUACUAAUCCCUGGUAUGGAGAAGAGAUUGAGUUUCUUCAUGGCAUUUUCAUCGAUUUGAUGACAAAAAUGGAUGGGUGUCUCCAUAAAAUGGAGCAAUGCUUGGCAGGGGAAGGUGGAGUUGAUCAUCAUACUGUAUGGCCCCAGUAUCUUGCCGUUCUGAAGGAAUUGAAUAGCAUUUCUAAAUUAUAUCAUGGUGCUGAGGAAGAGUUUUGGACAUUUAUGAGACGUAGGAAGAUUGCAGUGUGCUCUCUAAUGAUUAGAUAUGCAAAGAGAAGUGAUGACCAUAGUUGGCUUCUUGAGCACAAGGAUGUGACUGAUUUUGAAUCAAGGAGGCAUUUGGCAAUGAUGAUGUUCCCUGAAGUAAAGGAAGACUAUGAAGAACUACAUGAAAUGCUCAUUGACAGGUCACAAUUAUUGGCAGAGUCAUUCGAGUACAUUGCACGGGCAGAGCGUGAAUCUCUACAUGGUGGUCUGUUCAUGGAAUUCAAAAAUGAGGAAGCUACAGGACCUGGUGUGUUGAGAGAGUGGUUCUUCUUGGUAUGCCAAGAAAUUUUCAAUCCACAAAAUGCCCUUUUUGUAGCAUGCCCAAAUGAUCGCAGAAGGUUCUUUCCUAAUCCUGGUAAGCUUCCUCCAUCUCUCUAGACACGUUUUUCUUGAAACAUUUCUUUUGAUUGCUGUUUUCUCCAUGUAAAAUGUCUAAAAUUGGAAGUGUCUGUUAUCUUGAUUGAUAAAUGGAUUGUUGACUUUGUUAUAUUGUGAUGGAUGGUGCUAGUGUGUAACAUGGCUAUAGAUUCUGAGGUUUGUAUAUGCUUGUUCCAUUUAACCUACAACAAGGUUCUUCUUGACAAUUGGUGUUGGAGAUUAGUGACUUUGAGUGAAUCUCUUUGGAAACAAGUUAUCACUCUUAAAUUCAAGCAAGAAGGGAUCAAGGGGUGUGAGAUGGUUUUGGGAUGAGUGUGUGGAAGAUAUUCAGAAAUGAGUGGGACUCCCUUAAGGAUAGAGUUCAUUUCUCUAUUGGCAAUGGAAGAAGGAUCAAAUUUUGGAAAGAUAGAUGAAGUGGUAACUCAUCUUUGGAAUAAUCUUUCCUGUCUUUGUUCUCUUUAGCCUCAAACAUAGAUGCUUGGGUGGUGGAUAUGUGGGAGUAGCAUGGGGAAAGUGAUUGAUUAAGCCCUUGCUUUCCUAAGCAGUUUCAUGAUUGGAGCUUGAAGGAGUGACUUACUUUUUCCUAAAACUGCAAGUAGGAGAGAGGAGGAUGGCAGUUUAGAGUGGAAGGAUUCCAAGGGUGUCGAUUUCUCUAUCAAAGCUUUUAACUUUCACUAGUCCAACAAAGUAGUGAGUCUUUCCCCAUUAAUUGGGUAUGGAAUCUCCGGGUCCUUGUGAAGGUAGGGUUCUUUAUAUUUUUUUUUUUGCUUCGAAGCAUUGUGGGUUAGAAUUUUGACAAUUGAUCAACUUAAAAGAAGGGGAUGAAGUAUGCCGAACAGAUGUUACAUGUGUAAAAAGUAGGAGGAAACAACUAAUCAUGUGCUCUUCCACUGCCCUACAAUAAUUAUCUGUGACAACUGAUUUUCUCUUUGUUUGGUGUAGUUUGGGUGAUGCAUUCAAUAGUUAGAUGAACUUUGUUAAACUAGCAUGGUUCGUUUGUGGGUAAUAAACUGAAAAAGCUUGGAUACCUAUUCUAGACGCCAUGGAAGGAAAGAAACAAAAGGGUAUUUGAAGAUUUAGAGCAAACAUAAUAAAUGCUUAAACUUUCUUUUAUAAAUAUUUUUUGGAUAGAUUUUAUAUAGAUGAAUUUUCCGUGACCAUGAUAGACUUUGUAGAUUGGAUUAGUUAGAAAGGGUGAGGGAGUUUGUUUUUUGUUCCUUUCCUCUUCCUUCCAUUUGCCUGUUUUUGAGUGACAUUUAUAUGCUUUGUGUGUACUUUGCGAUGCAUGUGUUUAGGCACUUUUCUUACUCUUAUAUAUAUAUAUAUAUAUUUGAUAGAUAAAAAGGAAGAUAUAUUGGAAAGGACUGCCAAAAAAGCAGCCCAAGGUAUACAAAAAGUUUAUAGCUACCACUAGCCUCCACCACAAAAACACCAAGAUACAAAAUAAAAGGAAUACAACCAGCCCGCCCUCACCAAUGGCCCAACCAAUUUAGAAAGCUAAAAAGAGUUAAAGGAACAUCAUCUAAGUAUCCCUUCGCUUCCAACCAAAGAUAAAAAGCAAACGAACUUUUUAGCCUUUGGAUAGAGAGCUCUUCCUCCUCAAAGGCAAUUCUAUUUCUUGUCUUCCACACUAUCCAAAACAAACAUAAAGGUCCGACUUUCCACAAUUUCUUAUGCUUCUAGUCCUCAAAUAGCCCAUGUCACCCUAGAAGAGUUUCUCUAACUAACGUAGGUAACACCCAAGACACCCUAAAAUGGGCAGACAACAGCUCCCACAAGACUCUUGUCUUUAUACAAUGGACAAGGAGAUGGUCUAUGGAUUCUUCGUUAGCAUGAUAGAAAAAACAUCUAUUUGCCAAAGACCACCCCCCUUUUCUGGACUUGAUCCAAAGUUAAGGCUUUUCCCCAAGUCACCUCCCAAGCGAAGAAGCUAACUCUAGGAUGCACCCACGCCUUCCAUAUAUUGCUCCAAGGAAAAGAAAUCGAAGUCCCAGGUUCAAAGGCCAUAUAAAGCGACUUCAUAGUAAACUUCUCAUUCUUAGUCUUUGUUCAACACAUCCUAUCUUCCUCGUCUCUAUUCACCGUCAUCCCAUCUAAGCAAGAAAGAAACCUCUCCUCACUUUCCACUUCCCAAUCAUUGAGGGGUCUAGAGAAAGACGGGCUCCAACCCCUUCCCCAGGGAUAGAAAAAUCCCAAACAUCCUCCACCCAUGCAUCCUUAGAACAUGCUAAGGAAAAUAAAGAUGGAAAAGAGUCUCGCAACGGAUCAAUCCCACACCACUUGUCCUUCCAAAAUCUGACCCUUUGUCCAUUACCUACCUCGAAGGAGAUUUUACUACUCACAAGCCCCCACUACUUCCUUAUAGCUUUCCAAACACCUACACCAAACCCUUCCCUAAACUCCCUAGAACACCACCCCCUUCUUACUCUUAGAUUAUAUAUAUAUAUUUCCAUAUUACCUAUAAAAAAAACCUGCAACAUACAAGUAGGUUAUGUUUGAUUUUUAGAAUUUUGAGGGGUAGGAUUAGGGAAGGGGAAAAACAAAAGGAAAGGAAGGAAAAUGAAAUUCAAGUUGAAUCCCCAAACAAAUCUUCCUUCCUCAACUCAGACCCCAACUUUCCUUGCUUGUUUAAAGAGGAAAUUGGGAGCUUCAAAAUGUAUAAUUUCCCCCCUAUUUCAUUUGUAGUUCCUUUUGCUUCCUAUUUUCCAUCACAACCAAACAAGAGAAAUCGAUUUUCCUUCUAAGUGUUUGCCCUUUUCUCUUGUUGCUUUUGAGCUCUUAACGGAGCCAUAAGCUUGCUACAACAAUUCUGAAGGUGUAUUGAGAUAACCUUGCAAAAUAGAAGAAUAUGGUGGAAGCUUGCAUUGAAGGUCUUGGAUCAAAGCUAGCUUCCAAAGUAGGAAGUCUUUUAGGGCAUUGAAUAUGGACAAAAAUUGAAAAUCGUCAUCCUUUGAAGAUAGUGGUAUGGAUAAAUAGGGAAGUUUUUUUUUUUUUUAAUGAGCAAAAUGUAAAUAUUUUAAAAGAGGCUAGCAAACAGGUGCAUUAAAUUACACACAAUGUAUAGAAAGGCAUCAAAAGGUCAACAAAAAGAAAAAAGAAACAAAAAACAACCUUUUCCUGCUAGAGCUCAACUAAUCAACAUAGUCUAUCACUAACAUUGAGAACUCUCCUAUACACACUCUAACCCACUCCAAAAACUUAUAUAUAAGGGACAAUUUUAUUCCUUGAUCCUUUAAUUCAGUAUUUUGAAACGACCUUUUAUUUCUUUCUUUCCAUAUAUUUUAAAAUAAGCACAAAGAAGUAGCUCUCCAAGCUCUUUUUCGCUUUUUUCAAUGAAGGAACUAUGCAAACUCAAGAAAGCUCAUCUUUUUAAAGAGUGUCUCAUAAUAUACCAAACAAAAUAUAAAUCAAUUGACAUAAGAGUAUUGCUUUCAAGCAGUGAAGGAGAAUAUGAUCAAUUGUUUCUUCUCCUUUGCAUAUAUAAUAAACUGUUCAACAAUUUCCAUUUCCUUCUUUUGAGUCAAUCUAAUGACAAAAUCCUCACCUAAGCUGUUUCCAAUUCACAAAGAAGCCAAUUCAGAUUGUUCUUGCAGGAAAGACUCCUUUUCCCAUAGACAAAGAGGAGUAGGACUUAAUUGAGAAUUUACUUUUUUUAAUUUUUUUUAUUAGUAAAUGAGAUUUGUAUUAAAAACGCCAAAAAGGGCAGACCAAAGUACACACGAUGUAUACAAUGGCAACCAAAAAGCGCCAAAAAAAGGAAGAGAAAACAAAAAGAUAUCCCCUCCCUCAAACCGACCCCAACCAAUCAAUGAAAUCUACUAUAGGCAACCAUCUUUCACCUAUAAAUAGUUUGGUCCAAGUUAACAAGUUACACAAAAACAAGUAUUUCAGUCCUUGGAUUGAGAAAAAUCUUCUAUUUCUCUCUUUCCAAAUAGUCCAAAAGAGGCAUAAAUGAGCUGCCCUCCAAACCUUUUUCCGCUUUUUUUUCCAACAAAGGAACCAUGCCAGCCUAGCAGAGUCUCUCUAAUUGUAGACUACAUCACCUAAAAAACUCUAAAGAGAGAGAAUAAUAGCUCCCACAAUACCCUUACCUUGUCACAAUGUAAAAGGAUGUGGACAAUAGACUCCUCAUGAGACAAACAUAGGAAACAACGAUUGGCCAAAAACCACCCCCUCCUUUAAAGCUGGUCAAGAGUCAAAACUUUUCCCCAAGUCGUCUCCCAAGCAAAAAAGUACACCUUAGAAGGAACCCAUGCAUUCCACACAACACUAGAAGGGAAUUGCACUACCCUUCUUGUCUCUAGGCUAGCAUAACUGAUUUACCACACUUCUGUUUUAACCAAACCAUUCUAUCCUCCUCAUUCUUUUAAAGCGCUUACACCCAUAGUCUCCCAUGCCUCCACCCUAUCAAGCUCCUACUCAUGGUUCCUCUUGAAAAGCAGCCCUACCUAGCUUACUUCCACACCUCUACCACAUAAAAAAAGAAAGGAAAAAAAGAGCCUGUUGUAGUAUGGAACCUUUUAAUCAUUGAUAGAUGGAUUUGUGAUAGAUUGAUUUGGUAUUCCAAUUUUUUCCUCUGGAAAUAGCUUAAAAGGAGAAGGUCAAGGACAUGAAGCAAGGACGAAGGCAUUUGGUUAAGGGAACUUUAAAUUUCAUGGUUUUCAUAAUCAUGCUUUUCCAAAUGAUGGUGCUGAUGGUGAUUGAAGCCACAAGAGAGGAUUGGAUUUCAGAAAAAAGAAAGAGGAACUAAAUUAGAAAAUAUUGAUAAUCACAAACAAUUAAUUUGAUUAUUAUAGAUGGUAUUAUUUUUUUAUUAUUCAAUUUUCAUGUGAUUUUAUUAGUAUUUUAUAAAUUGGUUAGGGUCUUCAGGAAGGGCUUUUGUUUUUGUUGUCUUUUCCAUUGCAUUUUGCUUUUGGCAUCCUUUAUUUACGACCUGUGUACUUUGGUAUGCUUUUUCUUGGCAUUGUUGAUAUAUUUAUUUUAUUUGUCUAUAAAAAUGAAAACAAGGGAGUAAAACAGAAAAUCAUAAAUUACCUGAUCCAAUCUCAAAGAGUAGAUCUUGUGUGUUUACGAGAAACAAAGGUCUAAUAGAUGUUAGUGCAAAUUAUGAAAAGUUUGGGUGUGGUAGAUUUUUGGAAUGUGGUGUUAUAGGUGCCAGGGGUCAGGUUGAGAGGAAUGUGGCCUUUUGGGAUUUUAGGAUUUUGGAGUUAAUUAAUAUGGAAGUCAAGGUGCAUUCAAUCUCUUGUUGUUUGAAAAACUUGAGAGUAACUUUAUUGGGAUUUUUUUUAUGGUGUGUGGGCUUUGUCAAAAUGAGGGGAGAGAAUUUUGAGUGGAUUUGGUCAAAGAAGUGGCCUUUGGAACAAUCUGUGGUGUGUUGAAGGAGAUUUUAACGUGGUCAGAUUUCUUGGGGAAAUGCAGAACUAUUUGAGACGCACAACAACAAUGAGAUGAACUUCGGAGUUUAUAAAGGAGCUUCAUUUGAGGGACUUUCCUCUAACUACUGGUCCUUUUACAUGGAGUGGUGGGUCAAAUAAUCGGUCCUCAUCAAGGUUGGAUCAUUUACUUGUUUCUGAAAGAUGGGAGAAUCAGUUAUGAUUGUUAAUUUAGAGUGUCGUCUAUGGACUUGUUUCUGACCAUGCUUCCAUUUUAUUAGAUGGAGGAGGAAUGAGAGGGGUCAAAUUGCUAUUCAGGUUUAAAAACCUGUUUUUGAAAGUGGAAGGAUUCAAAGAUCUUGUUAGAAAUUGCUGAGUGGGCUACAAUGUGAGUGGUUUGUAUAGCCAUAUCUUAGCAUUCAAACUAAAAGCUUUGAAAUGAGAUCUAAAACUAUGGAAUAGAGAUGUUUUUAGCAAUGUCNNNNNNNNNNNNNNNNNNNNNNNNNNGGGAAGAUUAAGGCUAGAAAAGAGGCAGUGGAUGAAUUUAGAAUGUGGGCAGCGCUGGAAGAGGGUUUUUGGAGGUAGAAAUCAAAAGAAUAAUGGCUAAAAAGAGAGAUGUAAAAACACAAAGUUAUUCCAUAAAAUGACCAAUGCUAUGGAAGAAGAAACUAUUUGGCUAAAGUUUGGUUGAACAUUGAAUUAUUAUUAGAGGAUGCAGACAUAAAGAAAUGAGUGACAAAUGCUUUGCAUAUUCUUCUUCCUAAGUCGGGGGAGGAGAGACCACAUAUCAAUAGGUUGUUGUUUGAAAUUUUAGGUGGAGAAGAUUCAGAUUCCUCUAGUCUCUCUAUUCUUUGAGGAGGAAGUCUAAUAUUAUGAGAGAGAGAGCGAGAGAGGGCGAAAGAGAGGGCGACGACGAGUGCGAUGGUGAGGAGGAGGAGGAGAAAUCGGCGUCGCAAAUCAGAAGGAAGGAGAGCAGGUUUACAAUGAAAUCCAAGGCGUUCGAGAUUGUAGUGGAGGAAAGAAAAGGAAAGAUCCAAGGACGCAUUGUGGAGAAGAAGGGAGGGGCCUCGUCAUGGGUACGACUGGGAUCGGAUAGCUUAGCGUUUUUCUUGGAAGGGUUGAAUCUCUGUAUCAAGGGUGAGAAAGAAACUAGAUGGGGAAGGGAAUGGAAGGAGCAGGGGAGAGUGUAUUCUAUGACUCGAGGGACAAACAGAGCGGGGGGGUUUAUACGGCAAGGGGUCUCCGAUAUAGAGGGGAAGAGGUUCUGCAUCUUCGUCCCGAGAGGUCGUAGGGAUAAGAGGGGGUGGACGACCAUGGCGAAGAAGCUUAACCAGGUGUUAGGGUUUUUUGGUAAAAACCCAGAAAACCAGAAGGGAAAGGCUGUGGAGAAGGUUGCUAUGGGAAGAUCGUAUGCAACAAUGGUGGGAAAAUCACUGUCGGGUAACUCAAAUGUCGUUGCAGUGAAGGUGAAAAAGGAGGAAUCAGAAGGAUUAAUACAGAAAUUGAAACAUUGUGUAGUGGCGAGCUGGAGAGAUGGGUCAGGGGGAGAAGAUGAUAUGGAGAAAUUGGGGCAAGUUUGGGCAAAGUCUUGGGACCUCAAAGGUAACCUAGGGCUGGCUAAGCUAAACAAGAGAAAAGCGCUGCUGGAUUUUGAGAAUUUGGAAGAGGCUAGACGAGUCGUUUCCUCUGGGAGCUGCGUGUUGGAAGGAACCCAGGUAAGGCUGGAACACUGGAGCCCUAGGAGUGGAUGUUGGGCAGAGGGGGGAAGAGAGAAAGGAAGCCUGGGUAAGGAUAGUUGGGCUCCCAAUCUCGUUAUGGAGCCCAAAGAUUUUGAGGAGAGUGGGGGAUGCAUGUGGAGGGUUUAUCACAGUCGAUGAACAUACGAAAUCGAUGGGAGAUCUUCAAUGGGCCAGAAUCUUAGUGAAAUUGAGAGGGGAAGCUAGACCGAGCGUGCUGGAAAUUGAAGGGGAGGAAGAGAGUUACGCAAUGUCCUUAUGGUGGGAAUGUUGGCCGGUGGUGAGGAGGAAGUGCAGGAACGAAGCCGAUCGCCAUAGCAGGGAGGUUAGGGGAGAGGAGGUUUCACGCGCGGGGCAGCGAGUGAGGAAGGAUUGGGUGAGUGGGAGGCUCGAGUCGCUGCAACCGUCAGACGAAGUGACGGAUGUGCAGGGGGUUGGGUCGGGUCGGGUUGAGAUCAGUCCAGAUCUAAGCCCGACAACCCGGACGUGGGUUUCAUUUGGUGAAAUAAAUCCUUUAAGCCCAAUCACGGGCCCAAAGGGAACAAGGAGGGAUGGUGGGCCUGGCUUAAUGAUCGGGUCCAUGGAUUUGAAGAAAAAAGGAGUGGCUGCAAGUGUUUUUGUCCCAGACGCAGGUCCAUCGUGCGGCAGGGAGGAUGUGGGCUGCUAUUCUAAAGGCCCAGCUCUGCCUAUAGCCUAGUUGCCAAACAAAGGCCUAUUUUGCUCAAAGGCCUGCACCCAACAGCCCGAUCAAGGCGGAAAAAUAAGGGAGGGCCCAAAAUCACCAACAGUCCAAGAGGUGACGGGUUUGCUGCUGAAGUAUUCUGCACCCAACUACCCUCCAGAAGCAGAGACUUUUGUUGCGAGGGAGACUGAGGACACAAGGAAGCUACAAGGAGUGGUUAGGCUGACAGAGAUGGAUAGGGCGCUUGAAGAGGAAUCAAUGAGGUAUGGAAUGGGGUCCGGUUCCUGGGGGAAAAGGGCAUUGGGGGAUUCUCAUCUCAAUUCUUUUCUUUUUGAUCGGACUCUGGGGGGGGAGUUUUUCGAUCGUUCUAGGGAUUUGGAUGAGGAAGGUCGGGCCGAUAAUUCAAUGUGGUUAACAGUGUAUGAGGCUUGCAAUGAAAGGAUUAAGGAAUGUAAGGAACUGGGAGUCAUCAAAUGUAGCAGUGACAAAGGUAGGGAGAUGGAAGGGGUAGGCGACAUAGAUGAUGCUCAAGUUGAGAGAAGUAAGCCGGAGGGUAAAUGGGAAGAGAGUGGUUUGGCGAGGUUCAGCCAGUUCCUGGGCUUUCCUACGGAGGGACUGGAGAAGGAAAUACUAACUUUCUUGACCAAGAUCAGGAAAAGACGGGAGAAAAUUCAUAGCAAAGAGUUACUGGAAAAGUCUAAGUUUGAAAGGGAGUUAAAAAGACUGGAAUGCUCCAUAAACUAUGAGGGAGGGGUGAAACAGAAAGGCUCGGUACAGGGCAAAGGGCGCCAAAUUGUGAUUGUCCAAUGAAGGUGAAAAUUUUGAGCUGGAACGUGAGGGGAGCAAAUGAUAGCUCCAAAAGAAAAGUGAUUGAGACGUUCAUAAGAAAUCAGAGGGUGGACUUAAUGUGCAUUCAGGAGACAAAAUUGCAGUGUAUGACGGAUAGCAUUGCGAGAAGUAUAGGCUCCGGGAGAUUUCUAGGCUGGAAAGCAGUGAAUGCGGAGGGAGCUUCGGGAGGUAUUUUUAUAUGCUGGGAUAGAAGGUUGCUGGACAUGCUAGACUGGGAGGAGGGACAGUUUACUUUGUCUUGCAGAUUCCGAAAUGUAGAAAAUGAGAUUGUCUGGGUAUUUACGGGAGUGUAUGGCCCUUUCUCUAAGGUAGAGAGGGAUGCUUUAUGGGAAGAGUUUGGGGCGAUUAGAGGGCUGUGGGAGGAUCCUUGGUGCAUAGGGGGGGAUUUUAAUAUCACUUUGUUUUCGAGUGAAAGGAGUAGUCAGAGGAGAAUUAGCUCAGCAAUGAGGAAAUUUGCGGAAACUGUGAAUGAUCUUGGGUUGGUGGAUCUUCCUCUUCAGGGGGGAGAUUUUACUUGGAAUGGGGGCCUAAAUAAUCAGACUUGGGCACGUUUGGACAGGUUCCUUGUGUCUCCUAGUUGGAUAGAUCAAUUCAGUGGGAUUAACCAGUGCAGGCUGCCCCGUCCGGUAUCUGAUCAUUUCCCAAUUAUGUUAGUGGGGGGUGGGAUAAGACGAGGCCCGACCCCAUUCAGAUUUGAAAAUAUGUGGCUUAAGGCUGAGGGUUUUAAAGAGCUUGUUCGUAGCUGGUGGCAAGGAAUUGAUGUUAGGGGCAGUGCUAGUUACAAGUUGGCUACUAAGAUGAAGGAAAUUAAAUAGAAGCUGAAAAUGUGGAAUAGAGAAGUAUUUGGUAAGCUAGAGUGCAACAAAUCUGCAGCUCUGCAACAGCUGGAAUUCUGGGAUAGGGAGGAAAAUGAUAGAAUUCUGACUAUGGAGGAAUCAGAGCUUAAGAAAGAGGCAAAAGAAAACUACAGAAAAUGGGUGAUUAUGGAGGAAACUCACUAGAGACAGCUUUCUAGGGAAAUAUGGCUGAAAGAGGGGGAUAGAAACACGGGUUUCUUUCAUCGUAUGGCAAGUGCUCACCGUAGAAAUAAUUUUAUGGAGAGAAUUAAGAUCAAUGGGGAAUGGUUUCUAGAGGAGCAGGAAAUUAGAGAAGGAAUUGCUAAUGCGUUUAAAGAGCUUCUUUCAGAAGAUACGGAGUGGAAGGCGGAUAUUGGGAGUCUUCAGUUUGAUCAGAUCAGUCAAGAAGAGGCUGAGAUAUUGGAGAGGCCUUUUACAGAGGAAGAAAUCCAUGGGGCUCUGAUGGAGAUGAAUGGGGAUAAAGCCCCUGGUCCGGAUGGUUUUACUUUGGCCUUUUGGCAAAGCUGUUGGGAGUUUAUUAAAGAGGAGAUUCUAGAAAUGUUCAAGGAAUUCUAUGAUCAUAGCUCUUUCCUCAAGAGCCUUAACAAUACUUUAUUGGUUUUGAUCCCCAAGAAAUAUGGGGCUGAGAACCUUGGAGACUUUAGACCUAUUAGUCUCUUAGGGGGUCUUUACAAGUUAUUGGCUAAAGUGCUGGCUAACAGAUUGAAGAUAGUGGUUGGUAAGGUGGUCUCUACUUCUCAGAAUGCCUUUGUGAGGGGAAGACAAAUUCUUGACGCUUCUUUAAUUGCAAAUGAAGUGAUAGACUCAUGGCAAAAACGAAAAGAAAAGGGACUUAUAUGCAAACUGGAUAUAGAAAAAGCUUAUGACAGUAUCAAUUGGAAGUUUUUGUUGAAGGUGUUGCAGAAAAUGGGUUUUGGGUCUAAGUGGGUGAGGUGGAUGUGGAGUUGUCUAUCUUCAGCUAAAUUUUCAGUGAUGGUUAAUGGAGUGCCUGCAGGCUUCUUUCCUAGCUCUAAAGGUCUUAGACAAGGAGAUCCCCUGUCUCCUUAUCUCUUUGUUAUGGGAAUGGAAGUGCUAGAUGUUCUUAUUAGGAGAGCUGUGGAGGAGGGAUUCUUAUCAGGGUGUAACAUAAGGGGCGGUAGUGAACCUCCUUUGAAUAUCUCUCACUUGCUCUUUGCUGGCGAUACCAUUAUAUUCUGCGAGGCCAGGAAGGAUCAUCUAACUCAUUUAAGUUGGAUUUUAUUCUGGUUUGAAGCGGCGUCAGGCCUAAGGAUUAAUCUAGCCAAGAGUGAAAUCAUUCCAGUUGGAGAGGUGGUGGAGAUGGAGGAGUUGGCUGUUGAGCUAGGUUGUAGGGUGGGGUCUUU
rnacentral:lncRNA from 1 species